rnacentral:lncRNA from 1 species
UUUGUGUUUGUUUUUGUCUCUUUUCUCUUUAUACUUCUUUUCCUCUAAUAUACUUCUUCUUCUCUUUUUCCCUAUUUUACUCUCUAUCUUAUUGUUCUGAUAGUGAUAGAAGAACCAUUGAGAUCUGAAAUUUAUUUCACCAUAUAUAUAAACUUUAUUCUGGCCCUAAUGCUGAGGGCUGCACCACUGACACAGUCUAGUUUGUGCUUUAUAACCACUUAUCUAGAUCUUAAUUAUGGGAUUUGAUCAUAAGUGGGAGAAAACAUCUAUACCAAAUAGCCAUCUUUGGUUUAUUACAUUGUUCCCACUUUGUUUUGUCUAGAGGCCUCUUUGACAGCAAUACCUGUCAAUAGUUGCAUAGCUUCUUCUGUUCUCAUUGGUUUUAAUCACAUGAAACUUUUGGCUUGCUCUAGUCAUGUGUCUCUUUUGGUUCAUAAUCUUGAGCUCAAGGGUGAUAAUUAUUAUGAAACGUUUAUGAUAUUCUUCCAUAUCACUUGGUUUGUUAUCUUGAACAUCUUUGCAGUUAACUAUUUCGAGCCAUCAUGCUUCUUUUCUUCCCAUUGUCAAGACAUUUAAGAAUGAUGAAGUGGAAUAGGAUGGUCAUUGAAGGACUGAAAAGAGACUUUUGGUUGACCUAUUGAUGCUGCUGUUGAGAAGCACGUUUUGCCUUGCUAAACAUCAAAUUGUUGAAUGAAAUUGACCACCUCUGUCCAGCUGUCUUUUUAGGAACGAUAUAUACUGCUAAUUCAUAUAUUAGUUCUUGGAUAACAUUCUCUUCCAAAUAUGAAACCUGGUCACUUUUCUCUUAUUUUGUUCAAGCUAUCAAAGUCUAUAUAACCGGUACUGGAAACUGUACUAAUAUAGUACAGUCUGUAGGAUAUGGUAUGCAUUUCGUAUCGCCACAGGCUCCCAAUACCAUUUUCUCACUCCUAGUCAUGAUAUUGCUUGAAUUCGGGCUAUAUGGAGAAGUUCCACUUAGUUCAGAUUGUUAUGGUUCAUAUACUGAACUAAAUCUUGGUACUGUAUCAAUACCUUACAGGUACAGCUGGUAUGUGGCGGUACAACUAAUCUUGCAGGCCAUGCUAAAUUUAUUUCAAAGGGGAGAUAGCCUUAUUUUAUGAUGUUGGUGGGUGUCCUCAUCCUUGGUUAGUCAUUGACUAGCACAUGGGGGCUCAUCGUACACUUCAUUUAGGUGACUUCCACUAUAAACCAUCUUAAGAUAAAUGUGAAUCAUAAAUUUCAGGAUUUAAAGAUGAUCUAGUGCAAAUCGUAGCUAACCCCCGCCCUUUCCUUUUAUUGUAUUUGUGCUUGCUUUGAUGCUGGGCAGACAAUUUGAUUUUGUACUUCUAUUCAAUUCUUUCUUUUUUUGAGUUGUUGUGAGGAUCCUUCACAUCUAAGACUCCUCCAUGGAUGCUUUGCAUGGUGACUUAACACAAACACUACAUAUGUUUUUGCAAAUCUUCCCUAUGGUAAGAUUGUUCGGAUAGCCCCUUCAUCAUUCCCACCGCUCUCUCUUUCUGUCACUGGCUAGGUUUGUGGCUUGAUCUUAUGCCCUUAUGCUUUCUCUCUUUGUUUUGAUUGUUUUUGGCUUAUUUGCUGACAUAGUAGACUCCCAGAGAUCUUCUGUAUAUGGUUAUAGGAUAUGUGGUUGGGUCCCUAGUAUGGAUCUUAAAUUUGCUUUACGUUCACAUUUGCUUGCUGCUUGACUAUUUCCUGUUUAGGCUGGUGAUGAGAUGUAAGCGUGUAGGCUUUCAUUUUUCAGUUUUAAUCUGCACUAGUUCUCCAACAUUCUUAUGCGCUAAAUAGAAAUCCUAGGCUGCAUUACUCUUAAGUUUUAGGUGUUUUCCUACUCUAGUACUAAUUUGUCAAUAUCAUCUGGACUUUCAUUUGCUAGUUGCGGAGCUGAUCAUGGGCCGGGCUUUGGCACAGAAAAGGUCAAAUGCCUUAAGCCCGAUUAAAAGUGAAUAGAGUUUCGGCCUGAGGCCCGGCCCGUGAUUAACUAUAGCUAGCUGGCUACUUGGUGACUCCCUUCUCCUGGAGGGACAAGAAACAAGAUAUUUUCUACCUCACUACAGCUGAAUCUGAGUAUUAUUCCAUGGUAAGCCCCACUUUUCAGGUGGCUUAGUUUAUGGAAAUAAUUUUCCUUAACACCUCUCUAUUUUGAUAAGUUGGAGUUCUUUUCCGAUCUCAUCACUAAAUAUCCAAUCUAUAAUGAGGGAGCCAAGAUGUCAAGAUCAACUGUCACUAUGUUCAUCGCCAUUAUGCUAGUGCUCGCAUCUACUUAGCAAACUCUGAGCUUAUGACCCUUGUUCGAGGGGUUGCUUGCAUAAUUCUUAAAUUGAAUUAUGUUACUUGUCUUUGAUGUUCUUUUUGUCUUACUAACUUGAAAAUACAUAUGUAUACAUAUAUUUCUGGGAUUGUGCCCCAAUGAGAAAUGCUUGCUUUCCACAUUUCAUCACAAAUUCUCAACACAAAGCUUAGUAGCUUGCUAAUGUCAAUCCAUUCAUCAAGCACCUUUCUUUACAUUGGUUGCUUAAGAAAAUGCAAGUUAAUUAUCUUUUCGAUGACUUAUUUGCUUAUUAACGGCUUAUCCUAUUUGAGUCUUGACAUUUAAGUCGGAAAGCUAAUUCUCUUUCGUGAUUCUAGUUUUUUCACAUUAUCUCUUUCCCAUUUGAUGUCCGACUUGCACCGUAUACUCACUAGUUGAGGUCGGCUUCAUGCAUCCUUUUUCUCCAUUCUGCUUUGUUUAGGGUUACACUUUCUGAAAGAUGCAACAAUAUCAAGUCCUUUAUUGCUAUGUUAUCCCAUGUGAUUUUCGGUCUGCCUCUACCCCGUUAUUCUUUUACAUAUAUCAAACCACUUCUUCGUACUAUGCAUCUCUUGGCCUACGCUGUACAUAUCCAAACCAUUAAAGUCGUAAUUUUCUCAGUUUGUCCACAAGUAGUGCGACCUCUACCUUGUUACACAUGUUUUUAUUUCUUAUUCUACCUUUUCUUAUAUUAUCACACAUGCAUCUUGAUAUUUUCAUUUCAGCCACACUUGUCUUGCACAUAUGCUAUUUUCUAACCGCCCACAAUAUUUUGUACCAUAAAGCAUAGCUGGUUGUAUGGUUGUGCUAUUAAAUUUUUUCUUUAAUUUAGCAGGUGUCCUCUGAUCAUAUAAUUUCUUAGAUGCACUUCUCUCCAUUUUAUCUGCCUUGCUUUAAUCUUAUGGAUAACAUCUUCUUCAAUCUUCCUAUCCUUAUGAAUAAUUGAUCCUAAAUAUCGAAAAUGAUCACUUAUAGAAACUUCAUUAUUCUCAAUUUUCACUUUACCUUCAUCUCUUACUAAAACUAUAUUUCAUAUUCCGUCUUGAUUCUGCUUAAUCUGAAACUCUUAGAUUCUCACUCUUCUAUAAUUCCAACUCAUGAUCAAUUCCAAUCUUAAUUUCAUCCACUAAGAUUAUAUCAUCCAUAAAUAGCGUGCACCAAGGAAUAUUGUCUUGAAUAUGCCUAUUAAGCUCAUUUAUAACUAGCACAAAAAGGUAAGUAUUUAGAGUCGAUCCUACUGUAGACCCAUUGUGAUUGGAAACAUACUUGUAUUUCCAUCAAUAGUUCUCACUUCCACUAGAUAUCCUUAAUCACAUUAAUAUAAUUACAGGAAACUCCUUUCUUUUCUAACACUCAUUACAAAACUUCUCUAGAGAUUCUAUCGCAUGCUUUCUCUAUAUUUUUUAUUAACCUCUGAAGAAGAAAAAUAGCUUCUGUAUUCGACCUUCUUAGCAUAAAAUCUAAUAGAUUCUCUAAUAUAUUUGUGUUACACCUCAAUCUAUGCUCAAUCAUUCUUUCCCAAAGUUUCAUAGUAUUGUUCAUGAGUAUAAUACCACAAUAGUUAAAAUUAUUUUUGAAUAUUUCCUUUAUGCUUAUAAAUCGGUACUAUAAUGCUCUGCCUACAAUUAUCAGGCAUUUUCUUGGUCUUUAAAAUCUGAUUAAACAAAUUAGUCAAUCAAGUUACUCCUACAUAUGGGUGGCAAUGCUCAACCUUUUUGACCCAUUUAACUUGAUUCAAUUUGUUGUAGGUCGGGUUGGGUUAUUUAUUUAAUAAAAUAGUCGGGUUGGGUUAUCUAUUUAAUAAAAUGGUCAGGUUAGGGUCUGGAUUUUUGACUCAUUUAUUAAAUAGGUCUGGUUUGGGUUGACAAAUUUUUGACCUAACUUGUAUCCGACCUGACCCAUAUCUCAUCCAACUUGACAUGAUUGCCACCUAUUUCCCCAUCACCUAAAGACUUCCAAAUCUCAAUAGGGAUUCUAUGAGGUACAACCUUUUUUCCUAUUUUCAUCUUUUUGAUAUCCACUGUUAUCUCAGAUACUCUAAUUCUACAUAUGCCUUAACCACUAAGGAGGAUGAUUGCAUUUAUUAUAUAAGUGUGAGUUGUUUUUAAGUUCACUGCCUGAGAAGUUGAUUUUUACUUGCUUAUAGUAUGUGAUAUAUGUCUGCGCUGUUGCUUCUUGCAUUCUUUAAAAUUGACAUAUCUAUGACAGAAAUGAAGGGGGUUUUGUGUUAUAACUACUCUAAUAUACAAUUUAGUUUAAUAAAGUUUGCGAUUGUUCUUUGCAUUUUAUUUUUUUUAAGAUAUUUGAUGUUGUUGCAGAUAUACCAAAUAUACAAUCACAUCGUUAGAGAAAAUGCACAAGCCCAGACUCUAUGUUGAGCAAGAUCUUGGGAUACCUCUCGACCUACUUGAUGCUAGUGUAUACAAGUAAGAGAUCUAGCAAUAACUUCGCGCUGGAACUUUAAUUCCUUUUACAAUGUUUUCAGUUGCUUAUUUGCAUAUUUACAUCAUUCUCCAGUCCUCCCAAAGUGCGUCCUCCCCUUGCAUCAGAAGAUCAAGAGUUAUUGCGUGAUGAUGAGGUAGCAACACCUAUCAAACGAGAAGGUAUAAAGAAGAAAGACCGGCCUACUGAUAAAGGUGUUUCGUGGUUGGUCAAGACUCAAUACAUUUCUCCGCUGAGCACAGAUGUGACUAAACUUGUAGGUGUUGUUGCUGCAUAGCGAAGGAAUUAUAUGCUUUAAGUUAAUUUUCAAUUUUCCUGCGGCAAUGGACAUAGUUGCUAAUUCAAUAUGCAUCGUCAAUUCUAGUCUUUAACUGAAAAGCAAGCAAAGGAAAUGCGGGAAAACAGAGAAGGUAGGAAUGCUUUCUUGGAGAAUCUUAACAACAGGUACAUAAAUGUAUAUCUAUUGUUAACAUGUUUCUUUAAUGAGAGUUUUACUGUAAUCAAGAAAUUUGACAUUUAUUUUUGAUAAUUGCUUCAAUUAUCUAUGUAUAGGGAAAAGCAAAUACAGGCCAUUGAAGAAUCUUUCGAGGCAGCCCAAUUACCUCCUAUCCAUCAAACUAAUCCUAAAUUACAGGCUGUGGAGAUUCUGCCUUUGUUACCUAAUUUCGAUCGGUAUAUUUCACAAGCUCUUAAUAGUUAUGUUCUUUAUCAUUAUACACUUACUUUUCGGUAAAUUCACCUAGUAGAUUGACUGUGCACAUUGCGUUUAUGAUUGCCUAUCUGUGUUGUUAUUGUCUAUUUAUUUUGUCUACUCUAAAUAAAUAGAAGAGGGUGCUUCAGUCGCUUCAAUUCUGGCAGGAGUAAUAGUUAAAACAAAAAAAAAUCGUAUGGAUAUCACUGGAGAUCUAAUAUUCGGUUCUCACUAUUGCUAUAAUCUGUUGAUUAUCUAUAAUAUAACUGUUGAGGUUGAAAAAACAAUUGAAACUUCUACACUGUUCAGAUCUUUCACUAUUAUAUUAUUUUGGUAGAAGUUGGAGCAAUCUUGGAGUAGUCCUGUAUUUUCCACUACCAUAAAAGAAACAUUUGUUGCCUGUGUGCCAGACAUAAUUGUAGGGUACCAGGCUUUCAUUCUGUAAUAGAUACGAGAUCGAUCUGAAAAAAUCUAUUCUGAUAAACAGACAAAAUCUUUCAUGAUCCAUACCAUUACUUGAAAGAUGCACUAGUAUAAGUAACGUGCCUCCAUAAAGUAAGCAAGUUUUUCUUUCUCAAGAACAAGCUUUAAGUAAACAACAGGAUUAUUUUCUAGUUUAUUUAUUUAAAUUUUGUGCAUCUUUGUUUAUUUAAAUUCUGUGUUCAAAAUGACUUUUUGUGUGACAAAAAGGCGUGGAAUAAUAAGUUUUGCAAGAUGAUUUGACUGAUCUAAUUAUGGGAUCAGUUCAUAUUGGGAUUCAUUUUAAUUAUGUUUGUAAUCCAGUUCAAUGUUGACCACUAACUUGGUUGACGACAAUUUGCUAUACUAGGUAUGAAGAUCAGUUUGCUAUGUUAACCUUUGAUGGAGAUCCAACAGCUGAUGCAGAGCAAUACAACAAAUUACACAAUUCUAUUCGUGAUGAGCAUGAAUCACAGGUGAAUUGUGUUCAAAAUGGGCUCACAUGUGGGUAUUCACAUAUUGUAAUUAUGCAUUUUUCUUUAUGUAUAACACUAGAUAUUUUAUAACUUAUAUUUUAUUUUGCUAUUGUACUUUGCUCUUUUUGGCUUAUAGUUUCCUUCUAGAUGGAUGCAAUUUCCUAUAUCAGACCUUGGAAGGGUGAAAGUUGUUCGGAUAAUUCAAAUACAAUUUUCUAUAUCAGACCUUGGAAGGGGUUGUUCGGAUAAUAUUCAUCUAGAUCCAUUGUUAUAUUUAAAUCUAUCUGAAUAUGGAUAGAAAUUUGAGCAUCCAACUAAUAUUUGUAUAUGUAUCUAUAUCUGUCAAAAAAAAUGGAUAUGAAUAUAGAUAGGCAACUACCUAAUCUGUAUCCAAAUAUCCAAUUUUACUUGUGACCCUAUUUAAUUUUAUAUAGAACUCAUGAUUUUUUUAAAAAAAUAAAUAACCACAUUAGCAUACUAUUGACUUGAUUUAUCAUCCACUCAGUAAUAUUUUUGAUUUUGUGGUUAUAAAGUUUAAUUAUCCAACUUAUAUCUGUAUUUAUAUCCAUACUUCCAAUAUCUGAUUUGUAUUCAUAUCUAUUUAAAAUAAAUAUAGAUGUAAAUUUUUGCAUCUGUCUAGCAUCUGCAUCUGUAUUUGUAUUCAUCGGACAAAAUAAAUAUGGAAAUGGAAAUACUAAUAUCCGUUCUGUAUCCGAUCCGGUUUCAACCCUACUUCUUCUCAAUCUGUCUAGACAUUGUAUGGAAAAUUGGUGGAUUACACAAUUGAAUGAGUAAAAAAUUAAAAUUGCACGAUCAGAAGGUAAGUCUCCGCCUCCUGGCUAUCCUUUUAACUUUUAUGCUAGCCCCCCUCCUAUCUAAAGAUGCCUUGGGCUAGGAUUUCAAUACCAAUUCAGAGGGUUGACACAAUAUUGCAAGCUGGUAUGAACACAUUUUAACUUUAAUGGAUUGUACAGUGAACAUUAAAGAUGACCCCACAUAGAUGGGAUAAGGCUGCUGAUCGAAGUUGAUUAUAUCGAAUUAUUUUUGUAGAACUAUUUUUUUUCCCAGCAACUAAUAAAUUUUACUUUGCAUUUUGUACAAACUCCCUAUAUGGUUUGAUCAGAAAAUAGAAAACCUUCCCUUAUCGCAUUGUGGUGGCUGCUUUAUAUGCAAUUUGGAUUCAUCUUUGUAUGCAAUUUGGAUUCAUCCUGUUACUUCAUCUUAUAUAUUCUCUGUGUCUUCCAUCAUAUUAGUUGUGUUUUAUCAUUUUGUAAGUGAAAUCUUACUCAUCUUGCUUGUUUUGUGCUGCUAAAAUAGGAACAUCAUUUUUAUUUCUUUUGCAAAAUAGAAGCAGCAUGCUUCUUUAUACGUUUCUGAUGACAAUUUGACUUAGCUAUUUUCAAAAAAUGGACUUGUUUGUUGGCGGUCCCACUUUACUGCAAUAUUAAUUAGCUGUAGUUCUUUAUGUCAAAAGAUUCUUCUUUCUGUCAACGGGGGCAAAUGCUGUGAGUUUUGGGUGUAUAUUCCGUGGGUAAACUAAUGCAGUCAUGACAUUAUUCUUGCAUCUCCAUUUUGUUAAAAUCUUUACUUGCUCCGCUCUCAGCGCAUAUUAUGCUCCUUCACAGGCUAUAGUGAAGAGUUUUGUAGCAAAUGGUUCGGAUCCUACAAAACCAGAGAAGUUUUUGGCAUACAUGGUUCCUGCACCUGACGAGGUAUUGUGUUACUGUUGUUCCCACUUUUAAUACGAAUCAUGAAGCAGAGUUGGUUAGCGUGUUGUUUCAUUUUGUGAUAGUGUGAAAUACUUGCAUGUUAUCCUGCAGAAUUGUAUAUUAUUGGAAUUCAGCACUUAUUCUUAUCAUCUUUCUGUCAUACAUUUGCAUAGUGACAGUGUUCCUCAUGCUUAUUAUUGGCAGCUGUCAAAGGAUAUGUAUGAUGAAAAUGAAGAUAUAUCAUACUCCUGGGUUAGAGAGUAUCAUUGGGAUGUAAGUAUCUUAUAUGUCAUUGUAUAUUCCUUCUUCUUCUUCUUCUUCUCUAAUGCUUAUACAGGAAUUUUGAAUUUACAUUUGUUUUUUCUUAUAUGGAAGCGCUAAUUGAAAAAAAUAUACAACAUUGCUGAACUUGAUUUUUUUCUUUUUGGUUAUAGGUAAGGGGUGAUGAUGCUGAUGACCCGACAACUUACCUCGUUACUUUUGACAACAAAGCUGCCCGAUAUUUGGUAAUAUUAGAUUUCUUCAUUAUGUUACUGGGGGUUUGAUAUGGUGGUCUCGAUGCAUAAUAAGUCUUGUUAUGCAGCCUCUACCCACAAGGCUUGUUUUACAAAAGAAGAGGGCGAAAGAAGGAAGGUUUGGAGAUGAGACUGAGCAUUUUCCUGUGCCCUCAAGGGUGACUGUGAGGAGGAGAUCAGCUGUUGCUAUUGGAGAAUUGAAGGAGCAUGGAGAAAUAUCUGUGAAAAAAGUAUAGCUUUUCACCUUUCAAAUUUCAGAUAUAUUGCACUUCGGGAGUGAAUCUGUUAAAUUUGCAUCUAGUUUGAAGUUAUCAUUGCAGAAUGAUGUGUCAAAAAUUUCAUAUUGAAUGAUCAUUGCAGAAUGGUUCCUUGCGCCUGCGCGGGAGAUUUAAUGCCACAGAAUGGCAUUUAAUGUCACUCCGUGGCAUUUAACGCGGGGCGCGCGGACGCCCGUGCACUUAGCUCUGUCGGUACCGGUUCAGUACCGUUCAAACUGGUCUGAACCGGUCCGGUAGGCGACCGGUAGGCCAAUCGGUACUGGUAUGGCGUACGAUGCUAGAUAAAACUUUGGGGCUUUCUUCUUUGUUUUUCUUGGAUUGAUUCAUUAAUAUUUGCAAGGCUUUUUAGUAUGGUGACCCAAUUCCAUAUGCCACAUAUGCCUACUUAGGUUCCUGCUGGGAUUCUAGACAUUUUCUCCAUUUUAUUUCUUUUCUCUUCUAUGAUGUUAUCGAGCACACAUGCCUUGCUGGGUUAUUUUUUAAGAAAUCAGAGCCUGGUGUUUCGCAUACCUUGCUAGAUGUUUGCAUUGUAGCUAGAGAGAAAAUAUAAAUAUAGUAGAUAAACAGAAACAAAAGCAAAACCAGAAGUCUAUUUUAUAAACUUUCUUACUCUAGCUUCCAGUCCCAAAGUUGAGGUGCGAGCACUUUAUUGUCACCUUAACUGAACUCAGAUUGCUUGACAUUCAGCUGUCUGUACUUAAUCAAGGACCCCUUGAUGCACUGCUGUGGGCUGUAAUUAGGCAACAUCAAUCUGGUUUCUAGUUGAUACAAUCAUCAUCCCCGUAUAGUCUUGGUCAUAACCUUGCAAUCCAAAGGAGUGGUCAUGAUCUACAACUGCCUGCUACAUUGCCCAGUGUACUCGUAGAACUUUUUUGCAUCCAAGUGCAAAAGUGGUGGUGGGAGAUGAGAAGUUUUGGGAUGGAUACUGUUGAUAAUUGAUGUAGCAACAUCUUUAUAUAUGCAGUCUCUCUCUCUCUCUCUCGCUCGCUCACCAUGAUGAAAAGGGGGAAGGGAAGGUUUUAGACUUGUCAACCUUUGUGAAAUAAAACUCUUAUUGAUCAAUCUACCGAACAAUCACAUUAAGACUGGUAUUUACAGAUCGCGAUGAUAUCAGUAAUUGAGGUGCUCGUAGAUGUAACUAGGUGUAUUUCCAUCUGGUUCAUGUACAAAACCCUUCGAACUGUUAAACAUUUGUUCAUGUGGUAGUCUUAAUUUUCUUUUUUUUUAAAAAGUACUAGUUUUGUAGUUUGGCCACAUGCACUUUAAAAGUUUGCAAUGUAUAAACCAAUUUUAUGAAGGAUAUUUAGAAGGCUGAUUUUAUCGAUUAUAUCCUUGGAACUUUUUUUUUCCUUUCAAUAUCAGCUAAUUGCUGCUGGUUUUGAAACUUUCAUUUGUUCUUUUAUCUUUUUCUGAGUACAUUGUUUAUUCAUUCAUUGCCUGUAGUUACUUCAUUGAUUCGCUGAGCAUGUCAAGAAGUUAAAGAUAUUAGAAGUAAAAUAAAAUCUUAGUGCCUUUAUAUAUAUAUAUAUAUAUAUAUAUAUAUAUAUUCUANNNNNNNNNNNNNNNNNNNNNNNNNNNNNNNNNNNNNNNNNNNNNNNNNNNNNNNNNNNNNNNNNNNNNNNNNNNNNNNNNNNNNNNNNNNNNNNNNNNNNNNNNNNNNNNNNNNNNNNNNNNNNNNNNNNNNNNNNNNNNNNNNNNNNNNNNNNNNNNNNNNNNNNNNNNNNNNNNNNNNNNNNNNNNNNNNNNNNNNNNNNNNNNNNNNNNNNNNNNNNNNNNNNNNNNNNNNNNNNNNNNNNNNNNNNNNNNNNNNNNNNNNNNNNNNNNNNNNNNNNNNNNNNNNNNNNNNNNNNNNNNNNNNNNNNNNNNNNNNNNNNNNNNNNNNNNNNNNNNNNNNNNNNNNNNNNNNNNNNNNNNNNNNNNNNNNNNNNNNNNNNNNNNNNNNNNNNNNNNNNNNNNNNNNNNNNNNNNNNNNNNNNNNNNNNNNNNNNNNNNNNNNNNNNNNNNNNNNNNNNNNNNNNNNNNNNNNNNNNNNNNNNNNNNNNNNNNNNNNNNNNNNNNNNNNNNNNNNNNNNNNNNNNNNNNNNNNNNNNNNNNNNNNNNNNNNNNNNNNNNNNNNNNNNNNNNNNNNNNNNNNNNNNNNNNNNNNNNNNNNNNNNNNNNNNNNNNNNNNNNNNNNNNNNNNNNNNNNNNNNNNNNNNNNNNNNNNNNNNNNNNNNNNNNNNNNNNNNNNNNNNNNNNNNNNNNNNNNNNNNNNNNNNNNNNNNNNNNNNNNNNNNNNNNNNNNNNNNNNNNNNNNNNNNNNNNNNNNNNNNNNNNNNNNNNNNNNNNNNNNNNNUUUAUUUGUCUCAAGAUACCGACGAAUAGUUUUCUAGUUGUUCAACUUCUCGAAGGGAUAAUAAAUAAGUUAUUCAAUGUGUAAAGCCCUGAAAAAAAUGAUCCUGUUAUUCUGAUAUCAUAUUUAAUGUCAGUGAAUUUUUUAUAACAAUUGUUAGUUGAUGAUUCAUGAUUUUUCCUUAAAGCUUUUUAAUUAAUGCUAGCAAUUCAUGGCUACUGAUACUUUUUAAAUUAGCUGGCUAGAUGAGUGAAACAAGUAGUUUGGGGAUUGCCAGAUGAGUGAAACAGUUAGUUAGAGGGUUGUUUUUGCUGACUCCACCGAGUAUUAGAAUUUUAGUUGGGAGAAUCCUUGGAUGUUAUUUUUCUCAUCCAUUUCAUAGCUUCCCCUGAGUGUUGCAGCUCCUUCAGCUUGUGAUUGUGCAGGGUGGCAUUUCAUGCAGUUAUCUGAAGAAUGCAUGGUGAUGGGGUGCUGUUCUAUAUGAUGCCGCCUAGACGAAAAGAACUUGCAAUGGCACAUAUUGUUAAGCAGGCAUCUAGAUAUGUGUUAAGCACUACUAUGCUACUGUCUCAGUUAUCUUGUGAAGUCUUAAUGUUUAAACUUUAUUUUCUUGUGUAGAAAACUAAGCAGGAGUCUCACAUCAGGUGGACUAACCUUUGCAUUUUUUUUUUUAAAUGAUACUUCUAUCCAUUCUACUGUUUCUGUUUCAAUUUGGUUCUAGAAGCACUGCAGAAAAAGCCAAAAAAAAAAAUCUUGAAGGAGCACCAUUGUUGCAGUUCCUUGCUGAAGGUUUUUGCUCUUUUAAGUGAAAUGCUUCUACGGUGCAGAGCCAGAAACUGUUCUUUUUCAAGCUACCAGUCAAUUGGUGUUAAGGAUAGCUCAUGUGGUCCUCAGCAUCAGAUGUAAUUAGUAAGUGCAUGUGUGGUGGUUGCAUUUUUCUGCCCUCAACUGUAUCCUCUGUAUGUGACAAUUUUCUAGUUAUCUGUUGUUUCUUUUCUUUUUUUAUGCCCUUCAAAAACUAACAAAUGCUUUACAUUUUGUAACGUUAGAUGCGAGUAGUUCUUGGCUGUUUUGGUCUUUCUUAAACAAACUAAUGUGCUGUAUUUUGUGAUCUUAGAUGCAGGUAACUCUUGUUUGUCUUGGAUUAAAAUGGCACAGGUGCAAGUUUUGGCAAUCCCUUUUAAAAGAUUAUGUUAGAGAUGAAGUUCGUGCUCAUGGUUACUCACAAUUUUUGAUUCCUGUGCCAAUCGUUUAAAUGUGGCCAUAGGCCUUCUUGUUUAGGUUUUUCAUUGUACACCUGGUUUAAUUAUCCUAUAUGCUAACAUGUUAUAUGUUUCUUAAACUUAAUGCUAACAAGUGGCUUUAACAUGUAGUAUAACCAUAAUUUUGAAUAAAAAUUGCUAUCGUUACCUUUCAUGAACUUGGAAAGGUGUAAGAUUUCCUACUCAUCAGAUAAUAGUCAAUUUAUUUUAAUUUGAAACUACUUUUUCUCUAGCUGUACAGAGCAACUGGGUAACAAUUCUUUAGAUAAAUGAGUGAAAGAUAUUAUAUUGAAGAUGAUAAGGAAGUUGGUUGACUCAACAUUUGUGGGGUAAUUAUCAGCAACAAUAUUUUUUAAAUGGUCAACUAUUUUCAAUAUUCUUGGUGACAUCUUUUGUCAUUCUAUUCCAUCAAACUUCAUUCUUAAAUACUUUUAUAUUAAAGAGGCUUCUUUGUAUGUCAAGCAUGUCUUACUUUGGAUUCUUGGUUAAGAUGUGAUAUGAGAUUGACUAAACACCAAGGUUUUCUUGGUCCCGGACAUCGUAUUGGCAACCCAUCGAUACACUCCCUACCAAGUGUAGACAUGGUACAUACCUAAGUACCAGCACUCAGUAUGGUGGGAGUACAGAGUCUCAGUACGCUAUCAGUAUCGUACACCAUGUACUUGGCAGUACAGUCUGCAUCUCUAAAAAGUAUCAUAUCUACAAACAAGUUCAUCAAUUUUUGACCUAUUGGCAUCACACUGUAUCACAUAUGUUCAGGGGAUUAGGCAAUUACAUUUUCAAGCAAUGCAACAAGGUAGAUAGAUUUUGAACUUUUCAUUCUUUUGAUAUAUUUUCUAUAACAACUUGAAGGCUAAUGAAUGGUUGAGAGGUUUAAAACAAGUUUUAAAAUUCCGCACAAACACACAGCACAUGCACACACACAACAUUAUAUCGCAUAUGAUUAGUGGACCAGGCAGUUAAAUUUUCAAGCAAGGCAACAAGGUAGAUAAGAUUUUGAACUUUUCAUUCUGAUGAAUGUUUUUCUAUAACAGUUUGAAAGAUAAUGAAUGAUUGAUAGGUUUCAAAUGAGUUGUAAAGUUCCACAUACAUAUAAUAUGUAUUCAACCUGUUGUUGAUUUCUUCAGUUAUUUUUGAAUUAUUCAUUGACUUUUCGCCUUAACCUUGCACAGCUCAAUGAAAAAUCAUGCUUGUAUAAACUUUACAGAAUUUUUGCAAAUAAUUCACAAUUUUCAUGAUAAUGAAUUAUUCUGGAACAUUGCUAUUAUCAUUGGGAUGUUCUUAUUGACAUCAAUAAGUUUCAAUUUUUAAUGUUUUCCUAAUUGUCAAACAUAUUACCAUGUCUCUGAUGGGCAAAAACUAUCUCAUUCUUGCUUUCUACAGCAUGACUAAACUGUACUCUUCAAUCUAAUAGUUCAAUGUUGGAGUUCUUCUGAAUGAUCUGAUGAUCAAAUUCAGAGGAGGGAGAGAUGAACGAUUUUUAAAAUUAGAAAUGAUAAUAGAAGCGGGAAAUGUUCCGUCUGGUCUGUGAACGGUAAAUCGGCUAAUUCUUGAACUUGAGAACCUAGUCUAAACAGGGAAAAAAAACCCUGCAAGGGCAAGGGCGAAAACUGAAAUUAUAUUGAAAAUUCAUUUAUUUUUGAGUCUCUAUAGAUGAUCAUUCUUGUAUAUACAUGGAUUAUGACAACUUGAACCUUAGGUAACUAGGCAUAUCUAAAUUAUUAUUAAUUAAAAGAUUCUAAGCUUUAAACUGAGCUUAUGACUAAAGAAAUUAUAGGGUUAUAAUUAUAUCUCUUGCCCUAUCACAACACUUUCCAGUCAUCAUAACUUGAGCUUGACAGACUCUUUUGGUAUCUCUAACACAUGAAUACGUCUCCUUGUUGGUUGAAUCUCAAUUUGUAAUUGUUUGAAUGCUAUGUCUAUACUUAAAUCUCAAAAUAAAUGCAUUAAUUAAAAUCAAAGAUUAAACGGACAUGCAUUUAAGUCUAAACAUGGUAGUUGGCUUCCCCAGUGUGGAACUCAUCUUUACUCUACUGUAGUUUCAUGAUUCUCUCGUUGUAGUAUGUCUGGUGACCUGUUAGGUUGUGAUUGAACAACACUGCUCCAUUGUUUGGUUGUGGGUGCAUUUUGUCAUGAAGGUGAGCGUAUUUGUUGGAUCCUGAAGUCAUGAAUAGUGGGCCCUGGAACUUGCUCACAAUUAUCUUCACAUCAAUGACCAGAUUCAAUGGUAUUUCUUUGGCACAUCAUUGUCAUUAAAUCCUGAACUUGUAUUCAUUCUUCCGUGUUCAAGACCUUGAUGAUUGAGUUGGUGGUUGAUGUGCUAUUGAUGAAUCAUUAAGCACACCAUUCUUGAAUCUCAGAUCUUUGACUGCACGAUUUUUGUAUGGUUGAUCUUCAAUAAUAUCAACUGUUCCGUAUUUUCUGUCUAUGUGAAAGCCAGCAGUUCCUUGAAUUGCACCAUUAGAUCAUCCAUCUGCUUCACCAAGCUGGAGAUAUUAUGAUCAACACGGUCCAACUGUUCAUUGUGUCGUUGAAGCUUAUCAUCAUGUCUUGCAUCUGUACUCUGUCAGCAUGCUAAUGAAGAAUAUGACCUGAUUCUCACAUUAUUGAUCUUCUAAUUCUGAUACUAUUUCAUUGUGUUAGAUUUGAUAACCAGAUUCACAAUGGAGAGAUAUAUUUUUUUGCAAUCAAGGUUGAGUAAAAAGAAAGGGGAAAUGUUGAAUCAAUUUCAUGAUCAAUGAAUGGGUAAAUCCUCAAAAAGAACUAGAAAGCAAAUUGAACUUUCAAUAGUUUUUGAUCUCUCAAGGAAUGAUCUCACUGUUACAUAUAAAGGCCUAUAAUUUGAACCAUGAGGAUCAGAACCUUAAUUCAAAUUAUUGAUUGAACUAACCUAAUUGUAGCCUUUUAACUAAUUUUAUAUCUAAAGAAAACCAAUAAAGGCAUUUAUGCCCCUGAUUCUGUUAGGACACUUGCACAUCAUUAGAACCUGGUCUAAACAUAAUUUUUUGUUGCUUAUAACACAUCGGAAGAGGCAUUUAGUUCAGUCAUGUGAAACUAUAUAUAACAUGAGCCAAAAUAAUUGCUUAGAUGUCAAAAGGCAGUCUUUGGUUUUUUUUUUUUGGAUGAAUGGAGGAACUUGACAUCAAUUUCGUUGUAGGAAGUUGAUGCAAGGUCUAUAUAUCUCCUGCGGAGUCAAACUUAUGAACCAGAAUGUCAAACUUUAGAAUGGAGUAGUGGGAAGGUGAUUAUAGAAGGUGAUGCUUUUUUUUUUCUGGUUUUGGGGGGGGUGGGGGGGGGGUGUGCGGCAAUCAGUUGAUAGUUUAGACAGAAGAGAAGAAAUUGUUGCAAGUGCAAAACUACUUGUGAGCAGGCCUGUAAAAAUCUAACUGCAGAUUAUCUACAUAGAGUAAUAAUUAAUACAGGGACAGUAGUUCUUGAACUUGUGGAGCUCACACGGAUUAUAUGUGAUGAAACAUAAGCUGGUCUGAUGGUUUAUGAGCUCUUGAAUUGUUAGGAAUUCUGCUUAAUUACCAAAUUGGGUCAAUGAAAAAAAUAAUUACUAUGAACAUGCCACUGUUCAUACUUCAUAGACUAUAUUCACUAAAAGAUGAAUGAGCGAAUCAAUAUAGUAAUUCAAGGGACAGGGUCCUUUUCUUAACUAGAGAUAAAUAGUGUUGGAUUUUACUUGCACUAAUAUUUUGCAUGUGCAACACGUGUGAGAUUUGAAACAGAUAGCCUCAUGACUCUUGGCUCUUAAAGUAGGAAAAAAAGGGUUGCAGGAGUCCAAAGGGGGUGGAGUCGAACUCAGGGGGUGGAGACACGCUCCUUCGAAUUUGUGUUAUAAUAAUAGAGAUAGUGAUAUUCUUAAGUUGCAUUUACAUAAAUUACCUUUCCUAUAGAAGGAUACUUAAAUGAAUAAAUUAGGAUAACAAAGUAACUGAUGCAUAAACCAGUAUCUUCUACAUAAAUGUCUUGCAUGAGUGAUAUGGAUUACAACAGCAUACAUCUGGCAGCAUUCAUUGCAUGCUUUUUUUUGAAGUUCAGAGACAAUGAGAUCUGAUAGCUUGUUACUCAAAUUUGAGAUCUUUUAAUUUUUAUUUUUUGUAGUAAAUAUUUUAUUCACUCUUAAACAGGAUAUAUCAGAACCAUACAAAGUGAAGUGUUGUCGGUGUCAUUGGUACAAUUUUACAAUUUCACAUGGUUCGUAGUUCACUCUUAAACAGGGUAUAUCAGACAACCAUACAAAGGUGAGGUGGUCUCUUAUUUACAAUUUUGCAUGGUAUAAAAUCACUUUCCACCACAAUGAUUAAGGCUUGAUCAGGAAGCCAAUUGAAGUGUUAUGUUGCACUCUCUUAGGACUUUUUUCAGUCUUGGAAUUUAGCACCUGCAAACACCUUAUACUAGUUGUGCAUUGAAGAUUUAUGCAAGCAAUAUAUGUAUCACCUACACGAUCGGCUUCUAUAAGCUUGAUAUGCUUAAAUGGUUUUAUGUCCAAACUUUAGGGCUUUGAUGUGUUCAUAGUUGUUUAAGCCAGCUUAGUGUUAUUUUUAUAUAUGCUGAUAUGAUGGAACCUAUACAGAAAUGCGGUGCUUAAUAUUUAGAGCCAAAUAAUCACACUUGAUGAGAUAAUUGGCGGAAAGAUCCUUCAGAAAAGAACUGUUUGUUUUCAUAAAUAUGCAGGAUAUCAUGAUGUAAUGACUGGAGGUUGGUGGUCUACUAGCGGACUUGCCACUAUCAAAUCCAGAUUACAGAAACGUCAGACCUGGAAGCCUGGGAUGAGUGAGGCAGUGAUAUUUUUCAGAAAUAGGACAUAUUUGCUUUUCUCUGCAAAAUUGGUUGAACAAGAAAUUCACAUCACCAUAGGAGGGACUAUUUAUCACACACAGUGCAUUUACUAUGUUAUUUACUCUCGUGCUUGGAAUUGAAGUUACAUUAAUACAUAACUGUUAACUACUGACUAUAUGAUUAUUUUCCAUUUUUGUGGACUGGUUCUAAUUGAUGAAAAAAAUGAAUCCCAGCUAAGUUUCUAGUGUUUUCUUUUCUUUUUCUUUUUUUGUGAAUGAGCAACAUGCAGAGGCCAUAUAAGAGUCUAUAAUACUUCUUUAUGGGUUGAAUCUUCUUUAACUUCAUCUGAAAUCUGGCCUUGCAAAUUGCCUUACCACUAUUAAUCAAAGCCAGAUGACAGAAACAUCAGACAUGGAAGCCUAGAAUAACUGAGGUAGUGUUAUUUUCCCAAGAUAUGGCAGAUUUGCUUCUCUUUACAAAAUUUGAACAAGUGAUUCACAUUACUAUAGGAGGGACUACUCAUAUCACCAGUGCAUUUAAUAUGUUAUUCACUUGUGCGAAUUGAUAUUACAUUAGCACAUGAUUGUUAACUACCACUUUGUAUGAUUAUUUUACAUUUUAAUGGUAAAUUAUCCUUGGUUCUAAUUGAUGAAAAAGUGAACUUCCAGCUAUAGUUUGUAGCGUGUGCGUGCACGUCUUUUUCUCCUCUCUGAAUGAACAACAUGCACUGGCCAUGUGAGAGUCUAAUAUUUGACAUUAUGUGGGUUGAAUCCUCUGAAAUCUGGCCUUGCGAAUGCUAAAUGUUUCUUAUUUAGUCAGCUUUGUGACGUCUUAAAUUUAGAUCUAUCAAUAACUCUGAAAGAGUUGCUUCAGAUCUGUCUCUUAUCCCAGAAGAAAAUAUUUUAAGAUUGAAGCUACUGCUUGGAACAAAGUGCAAGGUAAUACAUGCAGCUGCAAAGGUAAACAGUUAACAGUAUGACAGCCAAAUUGGGUUUUCGCAAGCUCUUCUUCAGGAUGGUGUGAAGGAAAAUGCUUCGUUUCUCCUAAAACCUCCCAGAACUUGUUCAUCUCAUGGUCUUUUUUGGACCAUUGGGAAUAAAGUUUGACAUUUUGGGCUCGUUUGGUUCGUGGAAAGCAUUUUUCCUUCUAGAAAUAUGAUUCUUGGAAAACAGAUUUCUGAGAAGAUGUCUGAAAAAGUACUUUUGGCAUGUUUGAUUGACAAUAAAAAAAUGAUAGAUUUUAAGAGUGCUUUAUGUUUGAUUGAUCAUUCACUUUUCUAGAAAAUUUAUGGAUAAUUUCUAUUUUAUCCUUAAUAAAAAUUUGGUCUUUAAUACCUCUUUAAUUUUAAAAGGGUUUUUUUAAAAAAAUAAAAAUAGAGUAAUUUUCGGCUCACGGGAAAGUAACUUCCUCAUGUUUUUUAUGAGAAAAACUUUUCUAUAAAACGUGGAAAUCAUAUUUCCAUGGAAAUACAACUUUUCCGUCUCUCUUCUUUAAAAACUCCAACCAAACAAGAGGCAUCUCAUUACUUUUCUGUUGACCACACUUUUCUCCUUUCUUUUUCCGCGAACCAAACGAGCCCUUUGAUCCCUAAUAAACCACCGAGCCGCCAUAUUUGGUGCUAAAAAAAUCACAUUCACAACCCUUGCAGGAUAUUAUCCAGUAAGCAUAGCAGCAUCCUAGUAUGAAAUAUGAGCCCAGCUGAAAAUGUUAGAUCGAUUGUUGUACAUAAAUGCUAGUUUGUUUGUUAUGACUCGCUAACAUAUUCCUCUCUUAGUUAUUAGGUAGGGUAAUUCAAUUAGAAUCUUUUUCAUGCACAAUGUCAUUGAUCUGUGUUCCCUAAUACAUAAAGAAAAUUCCAAUCUGUAGGAUUAACAAACAUCAGAGUCUGUCUUUUGGAACCUCCGAGCUGGUUCCCUGUCGCUCAUUGCCUUUCUGAAAUGCUAACCAUUCAACCGUAUUAUUAGCUUCCUGUGAACUUCAUGAUUUCUUCAAUCUUUUUCCUCACUAUGCGGUCAGCAUCUGUAACUGUAGCUGCAAAAGUACACACUCCAAAAUCUCCUAUUUGGUGAUCUCACCCUGGUUGGCAUGACUAAAUCUGACCCUGGAUGGCAUGGCUAAAGGCAUAUCAGGAAUUCUGCAUUCUUGAAUGAGCUUAGAUGGACUGCAAAUUUAUCAGGAAAGCAAAUGGCAAUUUUUCCUCUAGACUACAUGGUUCUGGUUCAGCAAUGUCCGGUGAGGACUACCACGUCGGAAAACUGGCCUCAAAAUGUUUGGAACACCAGCUCAAGCUGCUGUGUAGGGUCUGGAUUACGGCCAGACUGGGUCCGAGUCUAGCCAGCUCACCCUGUUGCAUGGCUAAAGCCAUCAGGAACUGACANNNNNNNNNNNNNNNCAGGAACUGACAUCUUAUGCAUUCUUGAAUGGGUUUAGAUGGAUUGCACAUUUAUCAGCAAAGCAAAUGGGAUUUUUUCCCCUAAACUACAUGGUUCUGGUUCAGCUAUGUCCAGUCAGGACUACCAUGUCAGAAAACUGGCCUCAAAAUGUUUGGAACACCAGCUCAAGCUGCUGUGUUGGGUCUGGAUUAUGGCCAGAAUGGGUCCAGGUCUAGCCAGCUCACCCGUGCCUGUUUAACUCUUUGGUUGGCAAUGGUGCUCUGCCUUGUAGAUGGACAUGCAGUACAACAGACAAUCGAUCAAUGGCAGGUCGGUUUUAUAGAUCUGUACAAUACAAGGAACUUUAUGAUUACAUCUAGUUUAAAAUGGAAAAUUAGUAAUAGCAAGUUCGAAUAUGCACUGUAACUACCUUUUGAAUGAUGUUAUUUGGACCAUUAGCUGUAAGUCUAAUGAAUUCCAGUCUAGCUCUAUAUUUGAUGAUCCCUAAUCUGAAAUGAAGCAUGCAUUUGAUUGUAUCAUGUAUUUCUGGAGUCACAGAGCUGGUUCUAGUGGUUCUUGCUCUUGCUGACUACAUGGCAAACUCAUGGUCUGUCAUGGAUGAAGAUGCUUGGUAGCUUGCUGGUUUGUUUAGAGAAUAUAGAAAUAGAGAGUUUGGGAAAAAUAAAUAGCAACUAAAUAUUACACGGAGUCCAUAUUUUCAGGCACUGGUACAGUUGUACAUCCACAAGGCACCAAGUGCCGGACUUGCCCCCUGCACAUAUCAAAUGGGAAGGAAAAAUUAAGCAAUAUAGAUAAAGGGUGCCAAAAAUUGCAGAAUGAUCUUUUUGGAAUGAUGCGCUACUGAAGUGUGGCUUUACCUUGAAGAAUGCUACAUUUUUUGUAGAACAAACAUUCCAAACCCAAUGCCUAGAAAAGUUGCAAUGGCAAUGCCAAAAAUGCCUGCAAGAAUACCAGGAACUAUUAAAGAACUCCAACCUUUGGAAGUUGCCAUUCCACAUGCUGUUGUAGGCCCCCCAACAUUGGCAUUUGAAGCUAUGAGCAGCAACUUCUGCUGAAAGCCAAGCAACCUUCCAACUCCAAGAAGCACAGCAAGAUGUACAGCGAUUUGAACUAAAGCAAAUGCAAAGAUACCGGGUGUCGUGUUGAUAACAUUCCAAAUGCUACCAUUUGCUCCCACAACAGCAAAGAAAACCUAUUCAUGCAUUCCAAAACAGGAAAAAACAGAAUUUAUAACACCUGGAAAAAAUAUAUUGCAUAAACACUAAAUAACUCUAUGAUUCUUCAGCUGAAAUUAUAAUUGCCUCCAUUUGGAGAAAGCUAAUGGCAUUAGAUUUUAUGUACUUAAAACUACCUUAGUUCAUGCAUGCAGUUUUAUUUCUCCUAAUCCUACACCUAAAAAAGAAGACAACGACCCUGCAGGCUGCUCAGAACCUGAUGAUGAUGGCCUCAUGUUAACUCUCUGGAAGAACAUCUGCAGCCAGACCAUUAAAAGAAUGGCAAUUGGCUUGAACUAAGUUAUUGAUCUCCUGUUCACAGUUAUAUCUGGAGCAGUAAUUUAGAUACCUUAACAAAAAAUGAUGACAAGGAGCUCAAAACAAAUAGCCCAUGUAAAGAAUCAUAUAGCAGGACAAAUGCCAAUAACAGAAAGAAUCAUGUCCUUAGGUAUAUGAAAAAUAUAACUUCUGUAUGAAAGAACUUUUACCUGCAUCAAAAUUAAAGCCAUAGCCUCACCAGCAGGAGCAAGGCUUCCAAAUUGUGAUGGAAAUAUAGUUGCCAAGGCCACAACAAUUGCUGUUAUGCAUGGAAGAUUCCCUCCUUGAAUGCCCAACAAUUUAGUAAUGUAAGUGGCUGCUUUGCAGAUUGCAAAGGAUAUAGCAAUGGCCAUUGCACUUUGUAAGACAGGUAACUUGUUUCCUGCUCUGAGUUCGGGAUCAACUUGAUCAUCUGCCAAAGUUCGAAGACUUCAAAGAUUUGAGACUACAUGGUUUAGCUAUCCAAAUGGCAUUACAGCCAGCAUGAAGAUAUUCAAGUAUAUCCAACAAUGGUUAAAAAUAUGAAUUAAAUCUAGAUUACAAAAAAUUGAUAGGUCAUAUGAGCUUUAACAAAUACAAUGUUCAUAAGCAAUGGUUUGGUUGAAACAUGUUAAUAUGUGAUAUGUACAUUCUUCGAGCAUAUAGGUAUCAGAGCUUCUCCUGUCUGAUAUCACAACCUGAAAUAUUUCAGUUUUGGCUGUUUCACUUGCAAACAGCGGAGAUUCUUGUUUCUCACUAAUGGAUCCAGGGAUGCCUUCAGUUUAAGGCUUCAAAUCAUGUUGAAAGUUAUGCAUCUCAUGCUUGUUCUUAUUAAGUUCAUUGUGCUAUGUAAUACAAAAUAAUGAGUACUAUGGUAUUAGUGAGUUUAGGUAAAGCACAUUUCUUAUACAUAUCAGAUCUUUCAACUUGAUGACUCUUGUCAUCAUGCCCAACUACUCAAGCAAAUUGGUUCUGAAGUAUGUGAAGUAACAAAACAUAAAACUGGUUGACAUUUCAUUGCAUAUUUGAAUAUAUGUUGCAUCAAACCCUAUAUGAAUCAAAAGUAUAACCACUGUUUUCAAUAAUGAAAUGUUCUUUGUUUCCAAAAAAGAGGAUUGGAUCCUUCGCUCGAAAAAGAAAAAUGAUGGGACCCAAUGGAAUUUAUACAGAUUAGUCAUGAAUAAUGAAUUUUAUUAUAAUUGUUCAAAAAUCCUGAAUUGUAGAUUUUGUUUCUUCUUUAGUGGGAUUAUACAUUUAUUUCCAUUUCUAGGUCUCAUAUUGGUAAACUUUAAAACUGUAAAAGUAACUAGAAGAAGAAAAGCAUGGUAGGAAUGGAAUGCAUAUUUUUCCUUUAAAGAAAGUUAAUUUCAAGCAAUCAACAAAUAAUUAAACCUAAAGUGAUCAAAUGCUAAAUCAAUCAUGAUAUUAAAACUGAGAUUCAUGUGCUUAGUUAUAUAUCCAAUAACGAAGGUGAAAUAGUAGGAUAGGACUUCAGCAUUAUCAUCAUUUCUUAGUAAUAUCAGCCUUCUAUGUUGAAAAGUUGACAUCGUAUGGUAGAUGUUUAAACUUAACGUUGAUGGUGAAUCCAGUACAGCAUACUAAUAAAUUGUCAGUUGGUAAGAAGACAACUAGCUUUAAUCACUGUUAGAUCAAUUUUAGAAGCAAUAUCAAGUAGUCCACAUGUAAGUGACAUUUAUUCAGUCACUAAAAUUUACUGAAUAAGACUUUCAUGUUUUAUGCUGGAUUAGCAACAAUAAGAGCAAGAAAAAGAGCUAUUCUAUGCACGUUGAGUACUAUCACAGAAUUAAACAAGAGGAAGUUAACACACACACCUGUGGUAGAUGUGGAAGUUUCUCGAGGUAUUUUAGAAGCUAAUGCAAAAAGAGAUGUGAAAUAUAUUGCACAUAUAACAUUAUCUGCAGCUAGCCCUGCAGCCAGUACUGAUGGGGAAACACCAAGAGCCUCCGAAACAGCAACAUAAUUGACCGCUGAACUUUUUUAGAAAUUAAAGACAACUGUUAGAAAUAAUAGGGAACUCAAAACUAUCUACUUCUAGCAAAUUCACCUCUUUUAUUGGUACUGUAGAAAUCAUCAGCAAUAAGGAAUCAAGCUACCAUCAUUUGCAUGUUUCUUAUUUCAUGCACCACUAAAGUUAAGAAGCAUAAAUAGAAGCUUUGACAAGGCACCCUGAUUGGUAUGCUAGGUUAAGCUGACACAAGUUUUACAGCAAGUACCCAACUAUGGAUUGGAUCCUGAAUACAUCCAACACAGCUAAAUAUUGAUGUGCAACUCCUCUUGCUAGUAAACACCUAAAAGCAACUUUUAUUUGUUUCACUAUGUAACAUGGAUAUUCCUUAAACCUUUGUCACAGGGUAGGAUUGUGUUGCAACUCCUCUUGCUAGCAAGUACAUAGAAGCAACUUUUAUUUGCUUCACUAUGUAAUGUGUAAAUCCCUUUCACAAAAGCAUAAUCAUAGAAGUAAAAUUCUACAAAAUUCUUUGAUGAUACCUCCACCAAUAUGCCUGCUCAUCAGGGCUGCUGCAAUCUUCCAACUAUCUUGACCAAGAGAUCGCAUUGGCACCAGCAGAUAGGCUACUACUGUGCCAAUUGUGGUCGCGACUAUCACACAAAAGAUAAGACAUCAAUAAAUAUUGAAUUCAAAGUAUUAGAAUUCAAAAAAGCAAAAAAAAUACAAAAAAAUGAGGAAUGUGCAACAGAAAUUUGUCAAAUUGGCGGUCAAAAUUCAUGCAAGAAUAGAAAAUGUGCAAAUUUAUAAUUGAUGGCUCAAUUAUCUGAUAGGAUUUUAAGUUUUUCACAGAAAAAUAAGAUUGGAGAAAAUUAUCUUUAAAGUAAUUAAAAUCAUGGUUGUGAAUAGCAAUGAGGAUUAGGAAACAUCAUAUGGCUCUAUAGCAACUGAAUCUUCGUACACACAAGUAACAUCUUUUUCUUGAAACAAAACAACAUGCAUUCUUGAGACUAUGAACUCACGGGUGCUUUUAUGCAGGUAGUCACAAUGCAAGUUCAUGCAACGCCAUCAUGGCAGAUAGUGAUGGCUAAGGAGACCUAGCUUUUUCCACUGCACCAAUAAAUAAAUCUUGCCACCCGUCUCGUAUGUGGGCCUGUGGCCUCCACUAGCUAAAAGUGGGACUACAAAAUUGAAACCUUCUUUGAUGGCCCAAUAGAGCAUUAUGAAUCUUGUCUAGUUAUUUUGGCUUCAUCAAGAGGAUAGCAUUACUUGUCACGAGAGCUAUGCAUCUAUCAUGAUGAUCAUUGUAAUUCAUGCUCCAAUAAUCAUUGCGAUCAUUCAUAGCUGCCCUCUCUAUCAUAUGAACAUGACGAGAAAUUUUGACAAUGACAAAUCAAAGGCCAUCCACAUGAGACCUUCUAAUGUUAUGCAACAUUCCAAUAUUAUACAUUGAUCCAAGAGGAUCACUAGACUCAUAUGGACCACUUUGGCUGCCACGAGUAGAGCUGGAUAGAAUUCAGGAGCAAGAUCGGCCAUAUCAGAAAGCUGAGUCGCGAGCCAAACUUCUAAAGGCUAUAACUUGGUCAUAUAAUACCUGAUUAAGAUGAUCUCUUAUUUCGAAAUCGAGUAACUUUUCGAGAUCUACAACUUCAGACCAACCCCUAGAAGGUUGAAACGGGCCAAAACUCCAUCUUUUAGGCCUCGAAAUAGGUCAUUAAAGCGAAAGUUUCUUUUCGGAAAAAACUUUGACCGAGCGUAUCUCUCAAUCCGUGAAGAAUUAAGCAGAGCAACAAAAAAAAAGUCGAUGUAGAAGUCAAGAUGUACUUCCUGUAGGAUUUUAGUCUUUUUUUUUCAUGAUUAUUUUUGAUAGUCAUAUUCAUUUUAAGAGAUCUAGUCCUAUUUAAACUAGGAGAGAAAUUUGAUCCGAAUUGUGAAAAGGAGGACUUCACUACUAUUAUAAAUAAGGGAUAUGUACCUCGGUUUAUGAUGUGUGGAUAAUCAAUAAAAGAAAAAGGAAUGUAAAUUCUUUGAAAUUUUUCCACCUAAAUUUUUUUGAAGAUUCGAGUUAAGCGGGUUAAGAAAAUUCUUCCUUCUCCCCGGCCGGAUCAUAUAUAUCCUUCUUUAAGCCAUUCUAGGCUUAAAUUGAUUGAAAUUCAUAGUUUGACUAGUUUGUUGCGAUGUCUCCAUACUCUAUGCUAACUAAUGAACCUACUAAGUUUAGCAACUCACAAACUUCUACGCAGUCUCUAUUUUACAAAGCAAACUUCAGGCAUGCUUUCAUCUCCCAAGGCUCCACCAUCGAAAAUGGGUACGAAUAUCAAUCUCAUAGAAGAUAUAUUCCCCCCUAGCUAUUCUUAUCAGGAUUGCCACAUCACAUCGGCCAGUACCAAACUGAAAAUAGUGGUUAAAGCUAAAACUAUAAUUGGUUAGAGUUUUGACAUCUGGAAACACAUCAAGACACUAUUUUGUAAUUAGGAAUUCCUCUUAUACAAAGCAAUAAUCAAACAAGAUAACAUUUUUCUAGUAAUACUCAAUCAAUCAGCAACCCUCAUUAGACUCUAUUUCCAAAUAGAACGAUCCACCAGCAACAUCAAAGCAUCAUUGUAAUACUAAGCCUCUUGUAGCCUUGGCCUAGUCCGCCAGAGCAAAAAGCUUGGUUCAUCCCAAUAACCAAAAAAAGAAAAAGAAAAAGAAAAUAUGAUUGGCCCUCUUUGUUCAGUCCUCUACCAUUGGCCCCUAGCCUGAUUCUGCCAUCCACAAUGGUCACCGACCCUAGCCUUCAACUAGGGUGGCAAUUUAUGAUCCGACCCGUUAAUCCGACCCACGAACGACAUGCUUAAAGUAGGUUUGGAUUUGACAAAAAUGAGUUUGGAUCAUAAAUGGGUCAACCCAUCUAAACCUGUUUACUAUACGAGUACCCAAUAUCCAGUACAAAUGGCGUACCGACACUCGAUAUGCCAAAAAAAUUUCGUAUCGUACCAUACCGACACUGUGCCAGUAUGGCACCGGUACAACGUCUGAUACCGAGACGGCGAACCUUGCUAGCACUUAUCAAACCCUACUAGAUUUGGCCAUCCUCGAUUGUGGUGACCAUUAGACUCCACCUGAUUUUCUAAUCCUUGAUCUAUCUUGAUUCGAGCAUGAAGCCACACCUUAGUCAUACCCCUAGUUGGAUUAUUCCUCUCACUUAACAGAUUUGGUUUCUUUAGAAUUUUUUAUCUGUUGGACUUCUAAAAUGUUGACUAUAAAAUUAAUUAAAUUUUCAUGACCUUGAAUAGAUGUAUCUGACUUGCUGGAUUGAAGUAUAGAUUGGUAAACACCAAGGUAUGUCAUCUUGGUACCGAGCCUCGUACCGGAGCCACCCUGUCAUUAUGUCGGUAUGCUCGGUAUGGGGUUGGUUCGACGUACCGAUACUCAGUAUGCCCUCCGUAUCAUGUACAGAACUGAGCUGAUACAGUACAGCAUGCUCCGUACCAUCCAGUUUGGUACGAUAUAGAAAUAAUCUUAAAAAUAUGUCGCUAAUAGAGGUAAGUAACCUAACACUUCAUAGUAUUUUUUUUCCAAAUUUAUUAGAAGAAAUGAUCUUGAAAAAUUAUAAUUAGUUUAUUAAAUUUGUUUAUGAUCUCUAUUUCUAUUUGAUAAAAUAGGUCAAUCAUGUAUUGUUUUAUUCUUGAAAUAAGAAUAUAAUAUGUAUUCGGUUAUUGUUGUAAAUAAGUUAUUUUUGAACAUAUGAUCUGCUUUGAGAAAUGGAUUUGGAAAUUUGCCUGGGCAGUUUGUGAAAUUAUUCUUAUAUAUAUGUAUUCUCAACAUGGCUAGAUCUGAUGCCACCAAUAGGAAUUAUUUGUUGACAUUGUUGACUUGUAAUCUAAACAAUUAGUUUCAACAUCGAACUACUAGGGAUAAGAAUAGUGAUAUCUGUUGUUAUCUGACACUUUGUGCACCUUGUAUCUAUUGUCUAAUCCAUGCCACUGGCUUACAUGGACAAAGCUUAAUGUUGGAUCUAGUAUCAGCUUUUAAAAAGCAUACUCUUGAAAAGUAAAAAAAUAUUAUUCUUUGAAUUUUGAUAUUGCCCAAUCAAUGAUAUGUUUGAUUUACUAUAGACUAGCAUGCUUAGACCCAACUCUAAAGUGCUUUGUAACUUACUAGGCUGGUGUAACUCAUUAUUCUUUCUCUUUCUAUUUUUCAGAAUUGCUCAGGAUAAAGGAGUGCGCUAAAUCUCUUAGAGAUAUUCGUGAUUAUUUAGACUUCUUAGUUUGGUUUAGUUUAGUUUCAUUUAGUGUUUUAGAUUUUUAUUUGGUUUAAAUGAUAGUAAUUGUUUGGAACAAUAUGACUCAUGUUAGUUUGGGAUAUUUUUUUAUGAGAAUGAUUUGAGUGGAUCUCUAUUAAACAAAUUUUCGAGGAUUAAAAAAUUUAUUAUUGCUCUGAAAUUAAUAUGACUUGAUCAUAUAGCAAGAGAAGAGCGGGAUCAAAAACAAGAAUUUUAAUAGCCUAAAAGAAUCAAUCCAAAAUACCAGAUCCAACCAAGAAUGCUAGGAGGAGAGUCCCGGUGGACCUGAGGACUCGGCGAAGAUCGGCAUUGAAGAGAAGCAAGGGGACGGCCAUGGGGAGCAAGUACUCCAACACCACCUUAUAGGCUGGAGCUUCGGAGGCGAUGAUUCCGGUGCUGCUCGCGGCCAAUCCGACCAGAGUGCUCACCAGGGCCCCGCUCAGCGCGCUUCCGAUCUUGGUCUUCUCCGACCUUCGGAGUCCAAGUGUCCAACCAAACACGACGGGUGAAGCCAAACAUUAUAACUUACAGGUAAUUUUUCGAAGAAAAUAUAAAAGACGGCAAGGAUUGAGGACAGGGAGGAGACCAGAUGCCGAAGGCGCCGGUGGCGAAGAGGGCGGUCCAGGUGCCCCAUUGGUCGUUGGGGGAGAUGAGGGUGCCGGCGGAGAGGGCGGUCGCCGGACGGAUCGGGGAGGUGGUGGUGAGAGGGGAGAGGAAGAAGUGGUGACGAGAAGAGAGAGAGGAGGAGGAGCGGUUCUGGGUAGUUGGGAGGUGAACCGGAUCGGUAGCGGUUCGGCCGGGGAGAGAGAGGGGCGGGGGGCAUGGGCGAGGGAAGAGAAAGGAGGAGAGCGAGGAGGCCAUGAGAGAGAGAAGACUGACUGCUGAUGACCUUAAAGAGUUGAAAAUUUGUACCCAAAAAAAAGGAGGUGAAGAGAUAUAACUUUUACAACAUAAACCAAAUAUUACAUUUUUAUUAGGAGUAUUAAUGCAAAAGGAUAAUAUUAUCUUUUUAUUUUAAAAUAAUUGUUUAAGCACUAUGGGUCAAAAAACUAAUGGGAGAGAUGUCAUUGCAAAAAUAAGAUAAUUUAAGAAAACAAUGCGAAUAGUGAUUUUUAAAAAAUAAAUAUAUAAUAAUCAUAUUUUUGGAAACAUAUUAUAGAAGAAUUUUUUUAACUCCAUCUAGAAAGGUACAAAUAUGAGUAUUUCUAAAUUUUUAAUUUCUUAUUGUUGUUGGCCCGUAAGUCCUAAUUAUUAAUCUAGUACGUGGGAAGAGUUAAAAAGUUGUCAUGCUUGUGCACUUUUUUUUUACGUGUCACUACGCUUUGCACAUUGCCUAAAAGGCCUCUCUCUUCCCCUCCCCCCCUCUCUCUCUCUCUCUCUCUCUNNNNNNNNNNNNNNNNNNNNCUCUCUCCUCCCUCCCUCCUCUCUCUCUCUCUCUCUCUCUCUCUAUUUGUAUAUAUAAUAUAUAUUAUAUUAGUUACAAUGCACGUGUGGUUGCAUAUAACUACUAGUAAAGAUUAAAAUAAAUUUUAAAAGAAUUUAGCAUGAUUAAAUUCCGAUACAUCUUUCUUAUAAAAUUACUUGAAAUUUAUUUUAUAUAUUACAUUCUUAAUCAAGAUAAGUCUAAGUUUUGCUGCAAUCAAAAGAUUACUAUGAAUUUAAAUUUCGGAUAUGGUUUCAAGAAGAAUUUCUCUUUUGAACUUCUACUCAAAAUCCAACAAUCUUAUAAACCUUUUUCUUCAAUAGAUAUUUAGCAUAGUUUAUUCAUUUAAACAUUUAUUAGAGAGAUUUAAUUAAUUAGAGUUAUUAUACAAACUUAACUAUGGAAAAUUAAAUCACUUUCUUUUUACUGAUUAGCAAAUCGGAUUCUUUUUCCGCCCUCGACCAAAAAUAUUUUUUUGAUCAUUCUGCUCAACCAAUGUCUCUCUUCUUCAUGUAUGGUACCAUCGUCGUCCCACUCAGCAUGUCUUCUUGUGGUCCUUCUUGAGGAUUUGGACGGGAUGUAAGUUAAGAGAUUGCUUCAAAUCACAUGCUGAUGUGCCAAUAAUGAAGAAGUGUAUAGUAAUAAUUGUGCAUGGAUAUAGCUUAUUAAAAUAACUAAAUGGAAUAAUCAGAACUUCCGCAUAACAAGCAAAGCUUUCUGAGUUCAAACUUGGAUAAUGUGUAUUACCACACAUACAUCAGGGUAAAAAUCCGGUAAUGGAACAUAUAUACUAGGAUACCUGCUGGGGUACAUGAAGCAUUAGUCUUGGAUGAUGAAUUUUCAAACAUUUCAAGCUGGAAUAGCAUACUACUGUAUAGGUCUCUCUCUUUCUUUCCUGCGAAAAGGAAAAAUUACAGUGCUCAAGAAUUAGGUGCUUUCAGGAUUUCGAAAUUUAUUUAAAAUGGAUGUCAUGACUAGGUGAUUUCAGAAUUUAAGUGAUUGCGGAUGGCCAAAGAAAAAAGAAACUGUGAUUCUAAGCUUAGCUGAGUUUAUUGUUAGGUCAAAGCCUAGGGAUUGGCUAGAUGGCUGAUCGGGAUUGUAGUUGUCAAUAAGCUACAUCACAAGGAAUUAUCACUGAACAAUAGCUAUCAAGCUUAUUUAUUUUCAGUUACAUGUUAAAUUAGCAUGAAUAAGGGGGAUGAGAACAUUUACACACACUAACAUUAUGGCACAUGAACAUCACUUCAUCAUGGAAGCCCCUUGAAACCCCUAUUCUAAGUCGCCAUUUGCACAGAAACCUGUAAUUAAAGUGUGCAGAUCCUCUGUAGAUGAUUUUAAAAGUGCAUGCUGCAUCAACCAGGACCGUGGCCGUGGAAUGAAGACCAAUCCACCACAUGGCCAAGCACAUGCCCAUGGGAAUAGAGGAUGCGCAUUUCAUAACAUCAUGAUCAACAUCUCUUUCUCAAAGUAUAGAAAUUGAUUUCAACAAUUAUCCUUAUAGAAGUGAAAAAAGUUCAUGUCGACAAGCUUCUCAUCACCUACUCUUGUGACCUCAUGUCAUGCCGCCAAGAAUACGAGCUUGUAUGUAGCAGGCACCACAAUCCAUGCCAACACAAAAUCCGUAUCAUGAUGAUUGGAAAGGAAAAGUUGUUAAUCUGAAACAAUAUGAUGCAGCAUAGUUGGAUUAUAUCUCAUGUUUUCACAUAGAUAUAUAAGAAUUAUACAAGGCAUAUCCCUAGAACAAAGGGGCAAAAAACAAAAAAUAGAACCCUCAAAAAAGAAAAUUAAGCACCGUAAUCUUUGCAAUCAUUCAUAUGGAAUUGCUGAAUUGGAGCAUCUAGGAGUCACUAAUGCUAAUUUUAAAAAAAUCAGAAUCAAGAGAUUAGUUUCAUGUUCUUCAGCAUUGUGGUAAGAAGAGGUAGCUUUCCAGGAGCCCUAUGCUUGUAAUCCUGCAACAGAGCCUCCGCAGCUAGGGAUUGCAGCUCAGAGCUUUCUUUCUCUUCUUUGUUCCGUCCCUUGAUCAGCUGAUUGAUGGCAACACUACACUGAAGAAAUUAAGAAUAUAUUAGUGAUCAUGAUGGUGAGCAACAAAAUCAAAAUAUCCAGGAUAUCUUACCAAGCAUACACCAUAGAGAGCUCUGGUGUUCUUGCCUCCAGUUAAGUUGACGGUGGCACAAUAGUACUUUUUGGCUGCCUGAAGAUUUUCCAAACCACCCAUAGAAUAAAGUACCUAAUGAUAAACGAAUUCCCAGCAUGAAGGGUUAAUCCAACAAAAUAGCAUACCUUUUAUACAUGCUGUAAAUAUAUUAUCAUCAAUUGAGAAAAUAAGCAAGAAGUAACGAAGACAAGUGGGGAUAGAACAAUGUCAAUUUAAGUCAGAAACCCAUCCCCCAAUUAUAAAAAGAUCUAAUAUUAUAUUACAUAUAUAUAUAUAUAUAUAUAUAUAUAGAGAGAGAGAGAGAGAGAGAGAGAAGAANNNNNNNNNNNNNNNNNNNNAUAUAUAUAUAUAUAUAUAUAUAUAUAUAUAUAUAUAGAGAGAGAGAGAGAGAGAGAGAGAAGGAAAUCCAUCCAUGAACCUGUUUUAGUCAUCUUGCUUGCUAGAUUAUAGCUGUUAUAAGCAUGUGGAUGAACUAGUGUUUGUAGGUAUUAAUCCAAAUGUUAAUAGGCAAAGGAAGCAAUCUCCAUUAAGCAAAAAUUUAUCAUCGCCUUUCACAAUUGUUGUAAGAUAUAACCGCCCAGACCUAAAGCAAAUAACGAAGGACCCAAUAUUCCGCUGCAGCUGUGACAGACUAGCAAAAGGAGGUGCUUUAUGUUGAUACACAAGUACAAUGUCUUCUGCUCAGCCAAGGUCAAAUUCACUGCGUGCAGCUAAGCAUUUCUUUUUUCCUUUUUUUUCCUACCAAGUCCCACCUGCCUGAAGGAGUUAAACCCUGGUAUUUUACUGGCAUAAAGCUCAGGUCCGAAAUACUUGAAGAGUUGACACCACUCAAGAGUCUUUGCUUCCAAGCAAGGGGUUGCCACUGUUUGGAGUUAAAGCAACUGACAAAGGAUCCAAUCUUCCACUGCAGCUGUCAGACUAGAAAAAAGGGGGUGUUUCAUGUUGAUACAUAAGUACAAUGUCUUCUGCUUAGCCAAUGUCAAAUUCAACAUGUGCAGCUGAGCAUUUUUUUCCCUUUUUUCUAAAUAGAUCAGGAGGGAAGUCCCACCUUCCCCGAAGGAUUUAAAUCCUGGUUAUUUCCUAAAAUAACACUCAGGGCCAAAAUACUCGAGGGUGAACACCACUCAAGACUUGAAGGUUUGUGACCACUCAGCCACUGCUCUGUUCACACCAACUGCUAAUAAAAGCUGAGCUAUGACCGUAAUAUUCUGAACCAUAACCAACACCUUCCAACAUCUACGUGAGGCUGACAAUUAACUGCUUUCAACCUAUAUCAGCUCUCUAUGAAAUGCUCUUGAGCUUUUCUUGCAGAUUCAACUUUGGGCAAGAAAGGGCCUAGAGUACACCCUAGAAUACCAAAUAUCCAGGCAGCAUCAUAUUUUAAAAGAAGUCAUGUAUAUCCAUGAAGCAUUCUUGAAGUUCAAGAAAAGGUGGGUGAUGGUAUGCACAUCAUAUCUAGAAUCUAUAUAGCAAGAAAAGGCGGGUGAUGGCAUGCACAUUAUAUCUACAAUGUGUAUAGAGGGAUAUGAAAUGCAUUUGUGCUUAUCUUGUGAAUUCAACUUUGGUCAAAAAAAGGCCUUGCAGACAACCUAGAACACUGAAUAUCCAGGCAACAUCAUAUUCUAAAAGAAGUCAUGCAUAUGCAUGAAGCAUUCUUGAAGUUCAAGAAAAGGUGGGUGAUGGUAUGGUAUGCACAUCAUAUGUACAAUGUGUAUGGCAAGAAAAGGUGGGUGAUGGCAUGCUUAUCAUAUCCACAAUAUGCAUAGAGGGAAGAAGAAGAGUAAAAUUUUUCCAACAAAUGAAGUAGAAGAGAAAUUAGAAAAAAAUUGUUGCAACAUAAAAGAAAAAAAGAAAAAAAAAAUCCUUCCCUCCGUCAACAAGAUGGGUCAUCAUCUUGUUAGCAGCAAACAUGAGUAAGAUGAAUCAUGUUUAUUAUGAAUUUCACUAAUAUUACAAUUUACCAGUAUAAUUCUUUUUUCCAUUACUUCAGACUAUUUCAUUUUCGAUAAACAAGAGGAAUUAUCCACCUUAAAGGCCCAAUUGACAAAUCUUGCUCCACACCCACUUGGCCACUUCUCUAAAUGUAUGAAGUUAUGGAUGAGAGUCAUAAAACAAAUAAAACAAAAAAUAUAUUGACCAUUCUAGAACUAAUUUGGCUUCAUGACAGGAAGAUCCAUGAUCAAGGUCAUUCCUUGAACAACUUGUAGCAUAUGACACCUGAUACAUGCAAGGCUCUCCUAAACAUUCAUGCUAUGGUUACUACUUCGUUGGAAUAUUAUAUGACUGAAUGAGCCUGGAAAGAACUUCCCUACCUACAAAUAUAUAUAUAUAUAUAUGUGUGUGUGUGUGUGUAUUGUUUUACACAUAGUCAAACUUCACUUCCUCUGUUCACUUUUCCCCUCUUUUUGGCAGAUGGUAAGGUUUUGAAUUUUUCUUCCCUUUUCUUUUGUAAGCAUGGAUAUGUUUGUUGUAUAUGUCUUUUCAAUUUUACAGUUAAUUUAAAUGAGGCAUAACCACCAUCACCCCCCCCCCCCCAAACCAAAUCCAAGCCAGAAGAAGAAGAAGAAGAUGAAACCCCGAAAUUUUGAACGAUAGGGCAAGGGCGAAAUAAGAAAACAAUAGUAGUUGCAUGAUGCAAUCAUUUCUUCAACAAUGGUAUAAAAACUGUAAGAAUAUUAGACAAUGAUAAUAGAAAGCCACUUGCCUCUGCGUAAGCUAGAUGAUAAAAAGGAACUGUUGGUUGAGAUAGUAUUAGCUCCUCAUAACAAAAGGCUGCUUGCUUGUACCUGAUUAGGGAGAGAGAGUUUAGUAAAAUGUAGAACAAGUAAGACAUUGCAUUAACAAUCAAAAUGCCUCACAUGUGUAGGGAUACAUAAAUUUCAGCAAGUUCUCUCCAAGCAUCAUGAUCUGCCAUAAAUCUGCGAAAAGAUCCAAAGACUUCAGUAACCUAUGCAUAGUGCAAAUAGUUUCACCAUGAAUUACAAAAAGAUUCAGAAUACUUGUAGACUAGACAUAAACUGAUCCUUACAUUUCAAGGUACUUAUUUAGAAAAUCAACAGCAGCUGAGAUAUUUCCUUGUGCCUUUGCCAUCGCAACCUUCCUCUUAUGGAUUAGCUGCAAGAGGAAAAUUUAGAGGUUUCAUAUAUUGUAGUUUUAAUAAUUAAAAAGAUCAAAGUAAAGCAUAUGUAACAGGAGAUGGGAAAAUGUACUGGAAAAUAGAAGACAACAAUCCAACAAGUUGAGCUUCUUUUUCUUAAUUGUGUUUAGACGUUACAUCCACUAAGGACUCUUUGUUAAAGCAAGCACUUUCAAUUUUCUACAUGCAAAACAAACUAUAAUUCAUGGUUGCAUUUUUUACAUACAUUUACAGGCAACCAACUAAUGUUAACAUUCCAACUCUUUAUUUGGGCUUAGGACCACCAUCAGCUCUGAUGCCUGGAUAAAAUAAUAAUAAAACAGGAAAAUUAACUUACCUGAUCAAGUGGAUUAUCCUCUAGAAGACAUGCAUAUGCUUUUUCUGCAUCAGCCCAUGCUCCCUUCGCUUCAAGUAGCAUUGCUUCUAAUCUGCCUGAAAAUUAUUGCAAAGAAAGGCCAGAAGCAGCUGAGCAUGAAACGAAUAUAACCCUAUGCAUAAAUACGUCUAUCAUGUAUGGUGCAGUAUUUCAUUAUCUUCAAGCCAGUUGCAGGUAGGAUAAAGCAAUCCAAUGUUUUUAGUAUGAGCUGCAACAGCAAAAUACUAGACAGUGAAAUUUACAAUCAGUAAGUAUAUGUUCCAUUUAAAGAUUCUUUAACUUUAUUGAGACCUUAUAUUUUAUUUAUAUGUACAUGUAUGUAUCCUGCACAUAAAUAAGUAUACCAUGUAUGGUCCAGUAUUUUAUUAUCUUCAUUCCCGUUGGAGAUAGGAUAAAGCAAUCUAAUGUUUUUUGUAUAACCUGCAAUACCAAAAUACUAGACAGUUAACAGAAAGUUAAUGUUUUAUUUAAAGAUUCUUCAACUUUAUUGCUCUUAAAUUUUAUGUAUUUAUAUAUACAAUAUGCAUGCCUAUAUAGCAGAGAAAACAGUCCAUCUGUUAGUGAUUUAUAGAACAUUCAUUAUGAUCUAAUAACAUUUAUCCGAAGAUUCAACUGCAAAGUAGUAAAAGAUUGAUUCUUUCUGGAUCUUUAUCUGGUCUGCCAGAGUAUUUCUACCGGUUGACAUAUCUUCUUACGGUGUUUCCAUAUGUUGCUGCAGGGUUCUCUUAAAAUUUGGUGACAAUUUUCACAAUAUUGACAUGAAGUCUGUAGCUAAAAGAUUGUUCUUAUCUUUCAAAUAUAUUUUAAAGAGAGUACAUGAUCGACAUAAAGACUAACCAAUUGAGAGUGCAAUACACAGUUUAUGCAGGUGAAAUAUAAGAACACUAAGCCACAAAACCCUGUAAAAAAGGGUCAGUACUAUUUACAGCAAUAGUCUAACAGUAUAAGCCAAGGUUAGCCAUCCCCAUACCGGUACCAAACUGAGACUCGAUACAAGGGGUGUACCAAAUUUAGGCAUAUGCCGAACCAACCCUUGGGUGUAUCAACAUUGUACUAGCAUGGUACCGGUACAAAGGUGUGACACCGAGAUUGUGAACCUCGAGCAAAUAACAUCAUAAGAAAAGAGCAAGCUAGAAAAGACUCAUCAAGAUCCAAAGUUGUUUAGGAACUUUGGAUAAAUGUUAGCCAGCAGUUCAAUCAUCAUGGAACCACAAAAAGAAUAAGAGGGACCCUAAUCCCUUUAACCUCUCUUAUUCCUACAAUAUCUAACAUAUUGUAGAAGAGAUUAAAAGUUUUUAACCACCAUCAACUCAUCCUAUCUUUAAAAUAACUUAAGAUCUGAAAAUACCUUCAUUUUUCCCAUGUAUCUGAAAAUCCAACAUAGGGCCUAUAUAUAAUAGGAACAAUUAGGUCAUCAAAGAAGUUAAACUAGGUAGGUUAGAGUAUGGAUAUAUUAAUAAGAUUUUCAAAUAUUUAUUACUUUAUGAGAUAUAUAGGCCCAUUGGUCUUCGCCAUGUAUGUAGACAUGAUGAGAUACAUAUUUAGCUAUAUUUUGUAAAUCACAUACACAACAAUGUGGGGUCUACCAAGGUCUAUCAGCUCAACCCCCUUGUAUAAAGAGAAAAAGAAAAUAUGCAAGUUCCAUUCGACAAUUCUUAUCUAGUGGCUAUACUCAAUCAAGGAUAUCUAUUUUAUGACUCUAUAUAACUUAAGUUGAAUGCUCUGGCAAAACUAGCAUAUACCAUUGGCUAAUACAACAGUACUUACCAACCCUCAGACUGCCUGUAAAUUUCUUUGAGAGGGUAGCAAUACAAUCCUGCAAAACAAUAGUUACAAGUAUAUCAUGUACACUAAAUUAGGAGAAUAACAUAAAGAAGAAUAACAUAAAAAAUGGUUUGAUAAUUGGACCGUAGAAAAUCUGACAGUAUAGUUGAAACUUCAACAAUAAAGAUGCCAAAUUUAUUGGAGGAAUACAUGUUCCUAUCAAGUCCUUACAAAAACAGCCAAUGAACUGUGGAAGAUUUUCCACGGCAAGGUAUCAAACGAGUCAAAAAAAUUAAAAAAAGCAAGCUGAUUGAUCGUUAACAUCCUGCUCGUUCUUCUAUAUACCUUCUUAGACAUGUUUCCUCGUGAGAAAAGGCUUAGAUGAUGGUGAUAAGACUGAUCAUAUAAAGUGACUUCGUAAAAAAACAGAAAAAAAAUCAUGCAUGAGUAUAGUUUUGAACCAAUCCGGUAAUAAUUACACAUUAUAUAUAUGCUUUAUAAAACCAACACAUGGUUGCUCCAUACCAACAUUGUCUACCACUUCAGUGAAGUUAUUAUGGGCUCAAACAUGUUCCAAAAGCAUAAUUUCAGCAUUUUAGCCAACUCAUUCUGGAUGCUGGUUUAUCUAACAGUUAUCAUGAGUACACUCUCUUCACAUGACACUUCUCUGCUAUCAACAUGGUUUCACCACUCAAUGUUGUAGAUAUAAUUCUUGUUGGUGGAGGUACUUCCUCCUUUGACUAUCUAAAGCAACCGUCCAUCAAAUUUGCAACAAAGUGUUCAGGCUUUCUUCAUUAUAUUUGGAGCUCAAAGCUGCCUUUUUCCCCAAGGGGGUACAAGGUCCAGCCAUCUAAUAAAGGUACAUCUCCAAUCUAAUUAGUUCUGCAUGCUAGAAUGAUAUUCACAUUGCUAAUGCAUUAAUGAGCUUUAGUCAAUUAACAGUGAGCUGUUCAUGGUACCACCAGAUUAACUCUGGUGUCUUGUAUUUGACCAUAUUCCAAAUGGAAAUAAUGUGAUUAGUGCUAAUGGUGAGUCAGUUGUCAGUAUGCCUCACUCCCAUCACUAUUUCAGCCCCUUGAAACAUUCUGUGAUAUACUUGUGACAUUAAUUACUCCUUUCCCUGCUUUUACCUCAUGUUUAGGGCCUCACCAAUGCUAAUCAAGACAGGAAUCUUGAUGAUCAGAAUUCUACAACUAGCUAUUAUUGGCAAGCCUGCUCAUCAUUAACAUUGAAAACUUCACCAUGGCCCAGAGUGGAACAAAGGUUUUCUGCCUCAGUUUCACUAACAUGUCUGUCAGAAACUAGCACAUAUUGUUAUCGUCAAGGUAUUAUUUAGACUGCUAGGUGUUGAUAUUCAUUUCCACCACAACCUACACAUCUAUCUACCUGCAUUCAGCCCAUUGACAAGCCUACAAAUUACUUUGCAGAGAAUCAUAAUACCAUGUACUGACACAGCCAUAUAGUUUAGUUUUAUAUAUUUAUAUCCAAGCCUAUGUAGAGACGAAGGGAUCACCAAGAUCAUCUAGAUGGAUCAAACCAAGUAUAAUAUGUCUCGGGCUAUUACAUAUUAAAAAAUCAAAACAAGGUGAAUGACUUAAUUUUGCUUAUGAAAAAACCCAGGAAAGACAAAUGAGCCUUGUUGACAACAAAUCCUCCGAUAGAUUCAAUUACAAUUUUAAAAUAUAAAUACUUAAUAUUAAUAUAACAACACUUACAAGUAACUUUUGGUUGAGCUUUUCCAAUUUUGAGAAGAUAAGAACAUGAGAAUUUGUAAUUGGCAGUGUUGGGAGCAUUAAUUCAGUAAGAUAACUAAAGCACCAUAUGAACAGACAUUAUCACAGUUCAUGCGGGAAAAGGGAAAAAAUCACUGAACAGACCAUAUAAAAAUGUUCUCACUUAUGAUGUUUGCAUAAAAAGAAAGAAAGAAUAACUUCAAAGGAAAACUCAAAAAGAACAAAAUAAAAUUUAGGAUAAAGGCGCCACCUUUGCAACAUCUAGUCGCUGGCAAUCCAUAGCAGCAAUAGCCACCUGCUCAUAAAGAGUCCAUUCUGCAUUAAUAGACAGACUAUUCUGAGUUUCUAAUCAUCUCUGCCUGAAAAGAGGCUAAAAAAUUAAGUGUCGUAAUCAUAUGGAAAUAACCAAAUCAUACAUGUUAUCUGCAUGUACAUACUGAAGUACAUGCAUAUGUGUGUAUAUAUGUAAUAUGCCUAAAAGACAAGAAUGAAAAUGAAAUGCUUACAAUUAUGGCUAAACUGUGAAAAGGCUCAUCUUUUCAAAUGAAAUAAAUUUGCAGCUUGCACAUUUGUUUCCAAACUAAACAUUAGUAACCAAUUUGGCAACCAUAUUUUAAGUAAAAAAGAAGUUGCAUAUUGAAUUGCUGCCAUGACAAUGAUUUUGUUUAUAAAAUGGCAGGAUCAACAUAAUGAGGGAGUCAAGCAUGAUUUAUCUGCAUAAUAGAGGUAAUCACAGGCCUACCAAAGAUAUGUCAAAUAAAAUAAUGUUAAAACAACUCCUCUGACCACAACCACAGCCAUCAAGACAUCUACUUACUAGAAUAAUAAUUUCAUUUACCCAUUCAAACCUAUCGAGCAUUUUUAGCAUGUCCAAUCCCUUUUGCAAUGUCCAUCCAGAUUUUUUUCAUGGCUCCUACUCAACCAUUAUCCAAUCUUCUAUCACCCUCCUUAUCAAAGUCAUUUCCCACAAAUUUUACAUGCACAUACAACCAUAAUAAAUUCAUAGAAACAACCUUUCUACAUGCAAGGUAAGGUGUGUACACCUGACCCUCCCCAGAUCUCAUAGUGGUCAGAGCCUCGUAUACUGGGCUGCCCUUAUAUAUAAUCAUAAUAAAUUCUUCAUUACCACCAGAACUAUGCCAAGAUUUUCUUCGAUCUACAUAUUUUAAGUCUAUUUUCCUACCCAUGCCACGUACAUCCAAGCAUGGCCAUCUCUGCACUGCUUUAUGGAUAAAACUUGGCUAAAAAAACUAUCGAUUAAACCUAGAGGUUACACAUCAAAUGGAAGAUCUUUUUGGUUCCAUAAGACCUAAUUCUCUGAGUUUGCUGAAACUCUCUAAGGAAAUAACAACCGGUCCAGGAGGACAAGAUCUUGAAAAUAUUUAAGAACACUAGAAUCUCAUAUGCUAUAUUCUCCAAAGUCCAAAUCUUUAACAUUGCUGAGUUGAUUCCCUCCAUUUAUGCAUCAGAGAUAUACAUCUUGUACAAACUCCUUAACCAAUUGCUAUAAUCCGAUGCCAAUUUGAGCAAAGACAUCUUAUUCACUUCUUUUAGUUGGCCAACCUAGUCUACAAUAUCUUUUUACCUAGAUUUUGACAUCUAUAUCAGAGGUCUCAGUUGCCCUAAGACUUUUCCAAAGUUCCACUUGAAAGGUCCAAAUGACAAUGCAACUAGCAGCAGACCUCUUCUCACAAUGUUUCUGAUAAUAUUUCCUUCUUCCAAGUUUGCCAAUAGAAUAUUCAGCCAUCUCACUGAAAUACAGUUUAAUAGCUCCUUCAUGUGCUUCCAUUUAACUUAAAUAGCAUCCAUGCAAUCCAAUGACUUCACCUUGUUCCAUGCCAUCCCAUGACUUCACCUUAAUGUUCCAAUUGCCCCACACAGUCUUCUCCAUGUUCGCCAAUGGAUAUCCUCUCAUGAAUUAAAAAUAAUCAAUUGUCACCUCCAGCACAAAUUAGCCACCUUCCUCAUAUUUGUCAGUCUCCUCAUGAAGAUGGUUUCUUUCCUAAUUAGUCAAAAGCCACAUGCUUCUUCAACAGCGCUGACACUUCUAGUACUUGUUGUUGUCUCCUAGUGCAAUGUAAACAUCUUGCUGUUUGCAUAUAGCAAAAUGAAUUCAUUAGUAUAAUCCGUGGUCCACUCCACUGAUAUAAAAAGGUGAAUUUAGGUUCCAAAAACAAUGGAUAAGUGCAACUCGGGCUCAAGCCAUAAUGCCCCACCUAGUUAACAAUCGACUAGUGGGUAAUUCUUUAAAACCAUAGGAGCUUCCCUUGCAAAAGUCAUAUGGACUAUAAAACCAAUUUUUGAAUCCAUAUAAUGUAAUGACAAAGAAAAAGAGACAAUUAGAGGAUUUAAAUGACAUGAAUGGCCAACCAUCUCUAUGGAGAUGCUAUGCCCCAUUCUCAUUUUAUAUUUUCUCUGUUCACCCAUAUAAAAUAGUUUGAAAAGUAGUUAGUCGGGAACCUACAAAGUGCAAUCUAAUUAAGGGCUUGUUUCGCUAUUCCGACGGGAUUGGGCUGAAAAUCCUAUAGGAAUAGCCAAACAUAUGUAGGAAUUAUAGAUUGGGUUGUCCAUUUAAGCAUGGCCCUAUAUCGGCCAGACUCCAUCCAGCCCAAAUCUUGUGGGAAGAAAAAAGAAAAAAUACCUCAAUAGGUCAUAUGUUUCAUCCUGCAGUCCAGAAGCUGAGAUCUGAGCUGGGUUUGGAUAGGCUCUUAGAAAAUACAAGCUAAAUAGGUCAACAGGCCCGAUUCCUACAGGAUUUUCAGCCCAAUCCUGUAGAAAUAUCCAAAUAGACCCUAAAGGUGCAUAUGUCCUCAUGAAGACUUCUUAAAAGAUGAGCGCCAAAUCCCAUUAAGAAUUCCCUUGUCAAAGAGUCCAGUUUAAGAUCCCAUUGGAAGGUCCCAUUGCCAUCAACUUACUUGCUCUUCUUGUAGGCAUCGAUUAAAGUAUCAACCCAUGCCAAUUAGUGUCAUAGGGCACCAUAGAAUGCUAAUUCCUGUGUUGUGCCAGCAUAUUUGUGUUGUUCAAUAUAUGUUUGUGCCAUUUCAUGUGCUAUGCUACAUUUACCAGCAGAAACUCAGUUUCAUUGUUAUGAGACAUGUCAAAUGAUUGGGCACAUAAGUAGUACAACAUGGUAUGUAUAACAUUGCCCAAUGCCAAUCUGGGGCCAGCAAGGGUGUGGCAUGUAGUACUUUACUUCUCGCCAAUAUAGGGUUUCCCUUCCUUCAAAACCUCUCCAUGUGUGCACUUCAAAGCAUGUUCCUAAGGUGUAAUUGCCGUCUUCUCACUUCCUCCUUUAUGACUAAUAUACCGCACACUAAAAUCUUUAGAAUUAAUCAGAAGAUGGAAAAAAAUAAAACCAAAGGAUAUUUAAGGAAAGUUUAUUAUAAUCAUGAAGCGGUCUAGGAAGCAUCACAUAACAGAUGGUUAUUAAUGCUUAUGAUCUUGAUAUUGGAGUCAUCAUUGACAUCAUCACAAAUAUCACUAGAAACAAUGAACAACUAGACAUUUUGAGUUACAGGUGUGUAAAUUGAGGGCGUUUAACUAAAAGAGUUACAAGGGAACACUGGGUGAGGAUAAAGGGGCUCGGAUGUUUGUAAUAAUAGAACAUAAAACAUGACUUAAAGUUACCCUCUAAACACUGCUGGGACUUCAUCAUCAGUAGCAUUUUGUCAACUCUGUUUUGUUUCAAAAACUUAUAUGCACUUAUCAAACAUCAAAGGUUUCCCCAAUCAUAAAUAUUUAGUAAUUCAAAUAACAGAGCAAGAUUCCCCAAAUUACGAAUAACAAAGCAAUUUUUGUCAUCAUCAAUUAAUUUAGACACCUAACACCACAUCCAAAGAAAAAGUAAAAGAUUUGGGGGCUCAUUAGUUACUAAGGAAACUAGUAAUCCAAUCUGAAGAAUCAUAACCCAUACACAGAAACAACCCAAAAUCCAAUGUAAUAACCCAAAUAUACAUAUCAAAUAGACAUUUUCAUACCAAUACAAAGAAAUCACAGCAUACCAUAAACUUUGAAAAAAAUCUAGACUUUCCUUUCCACUUAAACAGACCAAAAAAAAACUUGUCCUAAUCUAUAAAACAACAAAGCAAAUUACAACAACAAAAAAAAACACACAGCACCUCAAAUCCACAAGACCUACUGGCAGAUAUUUCUCAAUAUUCCCAAAUUUCCAAACGAUUAAAGCAAAACAUAUCUCGUAGAACCCCAUCCAGAUCAGAUAUCGAACUGACCUUCUCCUCCAAGCUUGGAUCGAUCCUUGGCGUCGUUCAAGAUGGAGAGUCCGUGUUUGAGGACUUUCUCGGAUCGGCGGGCCUUGAGCUUGCGGACGAGGCAGAGGUACUCCCACGCCCCGCCCCCGCCACUGUCGACCUGGCUCUCGAGGCGGUUCAGCUGCGCCUCCUCCGCCGCCCCCGCCAUCGCCCCCGAGAUCACGAGAAGAGAACGGGAAAGGAUCGAGCCCGGGUAGGAAGAGGACGAGAAGAGGCGGAAGCCGCCGGCCGCGCUAUCGACGCUUGAUAUUGAGGGCGAGAGAAAUACAAAAGGCUUUGACGCAACCACCCUAAUGGAGUCCUCUUUUUUUUGGCUCUACCGUGGGUUUCGCGCGGCCCUUUCUCCGAUCUCAGAUCUAAUUGGGUCUAAUUUUUCUCAUCAUAUUCUAUUCUGCCUUAUUAUAAACCGCAUCAAGCCGCCAAUUAGAUCUAGAUACAUAUACAUACAUACAUACAUACAUACAUACAUACAUACAUACAUAUAUAUAUAUAUAUAUAUAUAGGGGAUUGAUACCUACUCUCUGUAUUAUGGUAAGUUAUCAAUCUACCCAUUUUUCAUUGGACAAAAGAUACCCUUACUUUUUAUAAUUCUUAAGGUAUUUUAUGUCUUUUUAUAAUCUCACAUUAACCCACCCUCUCAACUCCCNNNNNNNNNNNNNNNNNNNNNNNNNNNNNNNNNNNNNNNNNNNNNNNNNNNNNNNNNNNNNNNNNNNNNNNNNNNNNNNNNNNNNNNNNNNNNNNNNNNNNNNNNNNNNNNNNNNNNNNNNNNNNNNNNNNNNNNNNNNNNNNNNNNNNNNNNNNNNNNNNNNNNNNNNNNNNNNNNNNNNNNNNNNNNNNNNNNNNNNNNNNNNNNNNNNNNNNNNNNNNNNNNNNNNNNNNNNNNNNNNNNNNNNNNNNNNNNNNNNNNNNNNNNNNNNNNNNNNNNNNNNNNNNNNNNNNNNNNNNNNNNNNNNNNNNNNNNNNNNNNNNNNNNNNNNNNNNNNNNNNNNNNNNNNNNNNNNNNNNNNNNNNNNNNNNNNNNNNNNNNNNNNNNNNNNNNNNNNNNNNNNNNNNNNNNNNNNNNNNNNNNNNNNNNNNNNNNNNNNNNNNNNNNNNNNNNNNNNNNNNNNNNNNNNNNNNNNNNNNNNNNNNNNNNNNNNNNNNNNNNNNNNNNNNNNNNNNNNNNNNNNNNNNNNNNNNNNNNNNNNNNNNNNNNNNNNNNNNNNNNNNNNNNNNNNNNNNNNNNNNNNNNNNNNNNNNNNNNNNNNNNNNNNNNNNNNNNNNNNNNNNNNNNNNNNNNNNNNNNNNNNNNNNNNNNNNNNNNNNNNNNNNNNNNNNNNNNNNNNNNNNNNNNNNNNNNNNNNNNNNNNNNNNNNNNNNNNNNNNNNNNNNNNNNNNNNNNNNNNNNNNNNNNNNNNNNNNNNNNNNNNNNNNNNNNNNNNNNNNNNNNNNNNNNNNNNNNNNNNNNNNNNNNNNNNNNNNNNNNNNNNNNNNNNNNNNNNNNNNNNNNNNNNNNNNNNNNNNNNNNNNNNNNNNNNNNNNNNNNNNNNNNNNNNNNNNNNNNNNNNNNNNNNNNNNNNNNNNNNNNNNNNNNNNNNNNNNNNNNNNNNNNNNNNNNNNNNNNNNNNNNNNNNNNNNNNNNNNNNNNNNNNNNNNNNNNNNNNNNNNNNNNNNNNNNNNNNNNNNNNNNNNNNNNNNNNNNNNNNNNNNNNNNNNNNNNNNNNNNNNNNNNNNNNNNNNNNNNNNNNNNNNNNNNNNNNNNNNNNNNNNNNNNNNNNNNNNNNNNNNNNNNNNNNNNNNNNNNNNNNNNNNNNNNNNNNNNNNNNNNNNNNNNNNNNNNNNNNNNNNNNNNNNNNNNNNNNNNNNNNNNNNNNNNNNNNNNNNNNNNNNNNNNNNNNNNNNNNNNNNNNNNNNNNNNNNNNNNNNNNNNNNNNNNNNNNNNNNNNNNNNNNNNNNNNNNNNNNNNNNNNNNNNNNNNNNNNNNNNNNNNNNNNNNNNNNNNNNNNNNNNNNNNNNNNNNNNNNNNNNNNNNNNNNNNNNNNNNNNNNNNNNNNNNNNNNNNNNNNNNNNNNNNNNNNNNNNNNNNNNNNNNNNNNNNNNNNNNNNNNNNNNNNNNNNNNNNNNNNNNNNNNNNNNNNNNAUAUAUGUACAUAUACAUGUACAUAUAUAUAGGUAUAUAUGUACAUACGUACGUACGUACGUACGUAGGUACCUAGGUAUGUAGGUACGUAGGUACGUAGGUACAUAUGUAGGUACGUAGGUACGUAUGUACGUACAUAGGUACAUAGGUACAUAUGUACAUAUAUACAUAUAUACAUAUAUACAUAUAUACAUAUAUAUAUAUGUACAUAUAUAUGUAUAUAUACAUAUAUAUAUAUAUGUAUUUAUGUAUAUGUAUGUAUGUAUCUACAUAUACGUACAUGUAUAAAUAUAUACAUACAUACACACACACAUAUAUAUAUAUAUAUACACACACCGGAGAGAGAAAGAGAGAGAGAAAGAGAGUAUUAAUUGGGAGGUUGAGAGGGUGAAUUAAUGUAAGAUUGUAAAAAGACAUAAAUACCUUUAAGAGUUAUAAAGAGUAAGGGUAUUUUUUGUCUUAGAAAAAAUGAGUAGAUUGAUAACCUACCAUAACAGAGAGUAGAUUAUCAAUCCCCAUAUAUAUAUAUAUAUAUAUUGAUACAUCUGCUCACACUGCUUUCGCAUGAGCACUGAUCAUGGAUCUUUACCGAAAGGGUAAAGUCACGAGCGACGGACUGACCCAACCCAAAAUUGGGUCCGACCAUAUUGAGUCAUGGUCACAUGAGUCCUCCCAUUAUAUUUACAUUGGAGCAGAGCAUGUACAAUGCACAUGCACUACAUUAUACAUUAAUGACUAUAAUUUUCUCAAAAAAUACAAGAAACAAAUUUUUUUAUUAAUUAUAUUCUUUUCUAAUUACAGAUCUUUUUAAUAAUAAAAAAUCGGUUUCAAUUAAAAUUUUGGAUUUAUAAAAUUCUAAUAAACAAAUAAUUUUUUUUUCAAUGGAUAGUGAGGUCCGUGUGCAUGAAAAAAAGGAUAAUAGAGAGUCUAUUUUUCAAUUAGAGCUCCUAGGCCUACUUAGUAUUGAUGUUGAAGGGUCAAAUGUGCAAAUUUUUUAAUGUGCAAUAAAAAUUUUGAAAUAGCUACAAGAAACGUAUUUUUUAUUAAUUAUGUUCUUUUCUAAUCACGAAUCUUUUUAAGAAUAAAAUAUCAGUUUCAAUUAAAAUUUUGGAUUUAUAAAAUUCUUAUAAAAAAGAAAGUAAAAAUUUUUUAAUGGAUAGCAAGGGCCCAUAUGCAUGAAAAAAAAAGAUGAAAGGGCAAAUGUACAAAUUUUUUGAUGUUUAAUAAAAAUUUUGAAAUAGCUUCCUAACUCCUCCAAAAAUUUAAAAAACUACUAUAAAAAGCUCCAAAUACGAUAUAAUACAAUUGUAUAAUAUUAUUAUAAUAAAACAAUAAUAUUAGUUGUAAUAUAAUAUUAUUAUAGUAUAAUAUAAUCAAUAUUAUUUUAAUAUGUUAUAGUAUGAUAUAAUGUAAUAUUCAUAUAAAGUAUGUAUGUGUCAUUGUAUACAGUGUUAGGCCUUAAGUUUGUUGUGCUCAGACAUCACUAGAGCAAGGUAGGAUCACGCUCUCUGGAGGUCUGAAAUUGGGCAUUGAUGGAUAUAGUUUUGUCGGGAAUGCCAUGGUUGCUAUAAAAUGUAGGGUAAUGCACAGCAUGGCUGUUAUGAUAAGGCCAUCAAUGACCUCAAAAGGAUGGUGUAAGAAGGUAUAGACCAUGAUGAGAUUAAAUUUUUGGGAGUGCUUUAUGUCAGCUGUCGUAGAUAAGGCUACAGCCAAAAAUAAAGGAUGGCCUGAGGCCAAUUCUACCUAAGAACAUGACACAAAGUUGCUGAGGUGGUGAGCCUUCAGCACGGAUCCGGCAUUUCAGUCUCCUUCACCAGCCUAAGAUAUCAAUCCUGAAAGCAAAAUUAGUGAGGGAAUAACCAUGACCUUUUGUUUUCUGAGCCUAAGAUUUCAGUCUCCUUCUAAGUUUAAGUUUUUUUUUUUUUACUUAGCAACUUAAGAUUAUGACUUUGUCUUAUUUAAGAACAUUCCAUGUUUGAUAUAGCCUGCAUUUGGAUUUUAAUUUGGUAGAAGCUGGGGGGCCACCAUCUUUGGCUCCUUGAAAUGCUAUUCCUACAAGAAUUUGUCAAACAACCAUAUGAAACUACAAAUAUCUCUUAAAAAGAAAGUACAAGUUGUUAGCAUGAUCUAAGCACCUAAGACAAACCUCAAGUUUCAUAGCCAGAAUCUCUUUGAACCUUCGAAGAACAUAAUGAUUCACCUUGUCAUACUUCAGUACACAACCAAGUGCGAGUAGGAUUCUUCUGCAAGUCAGACACCAAUUGCAGACAGGAUAUCCUAGUUCAUGCUGCUCUUUAAGUCCUGAUAAAGCUGAGAUGAAGCCACAUG